rnacentral:lncRNA from 1 species
CUCGGUUCAGCAUGCGAGAAGUACCAAUUCAAUGGGAAUUCCUGUCUAUUAACUUAUGGUUGGUGGUCUGUGGUGACAUGCUCCUCAUGAUUGCCUAGAGGUUAAACUCUGGCGGAUUGGAUGGCUCAUCCUUUAAGGUCUUUCGACUCGACUUCACUGUUGAACCAGCUAAGUGGGUGAAGGUGGAGAAGUUGGAAAAUAUUGCCCUGUUUGUUAGCCUUGAUAGGAGGGAUCCUACAUUUUAUUGCAUGAGCCCAGAAAGAUGGGGAGGAAAGAGUAACUGCAUUUAUUUUGCAAGGCUAUCUGAAGAUCCUGAGGAAACUUGGUCUGCCGCUGAGCUUGGUCAGCUAGUGCCAAAAAACGCAGUUCACCCCAUGUUCUAUGGUAUGUCAUUCCCUCCCGACUGUGGUGUACUGAGUAGCCUAUGGGUGUUCCCCAGUUUAAUUUAUGGUUCUGGCUAGUGAUCCUGUCACAGGGUUUUUAUCUUAGUUAGCAAUUGGUUUUGUAGCCAUGAUGGUUUCUGAUUUUGGGAGCAACGUUUUGUGUUCAAGUACAAUUGAUCUCUAUUGGCAUGCUGCUCUUACGCCUGGGUGUAUUGUGCAUUUGUCAUGUGCUUGCACCGGGUUUCAUCCACGUGCUGAUAAAUGAGACAUAUUGUCAAGUAUAACUUGGGUACUAUUCUGGGCAAACUCAUCGUGUAUUCAACUUCACUUUACCUACCUUAUUAUGUGUACAUGCUGGGGUGCUCUAAACCACCACCUUGGAUAAUUUUUCUUUUUGCUGGAUUGGAUUGAAUCGUUCAUUGUUGAACUGGAUGUAAUGUACCGGAUGGUGGUUUUCUUCCCCUUUUUAGUUGGUAAUUUGUUGAUGGAGCAGGAGAAAGCUUGCAUGUUUACUCUGGAACCACUCUGCAAAUCACGUCUUGUGCUUACAUCUUAUUGGGUGGGGUCUCUGUCUUAAGCUUGUGCGUCUUGUGCUUACAUCUUAUUGGGUGGGGUCUCUGUCUUAAGCUUGUGCCUCUGUAUUCUGUAUGUACAACUUGGGCAAGCAAUGGCUCCAUCUCACAUAACGAACCAGUUUUCUUUUCUCACGUACAAGUACAUCACUAAUAGACUAGCUCAUCAUUUUCAUUUACAAAAAACAUUCAAAAUGACAGGACUAAAUCAGCAAUAUGUAUGUUUGAGACAGAUGUUAGAAUAAUCCGAGGCACUCCGUCUUCUACCGAGGACCAAGCAAUCACAUAAGCACGACACCGAGAUUUGUUAACGAGGUUCACCAUCAUGGUUACAUCCCCGGGGCCUGACUACGGGCGCUCCUCCCCGUGACACCGUCACAAUACCGCACCCCGGCCGCCCGGGCGCCGGCACACGCCACCGGCUCCCUCACGUGCCCGUGCUAUUAUGUUGGCAUGGGUUACAUCGUGUGUCUACUCCUGAUAUAUAUGAGAGGCCUAGGAUACAAAUGUCUUAUUAGGACACACCUCCUACCCUGUCUACACACAGUCCAAACCAAGUCCAACUGUAACCUACCUUGUAUAAUAAUAUUCGACAUAAUUCUAACAAACUCCACAUUGGCGAAUAUUCUCCACCACCUUGAAUUCGUCCGUGCGUCGAACCUCCAUGUACAUUGGACUUGAGAUACACCAUGAGCACCGCUGCUACUCCCAAACUCCAUGUGACUCCACCUGUAACUGCAAUCCCUUCUCGUCUUCAUCACAGUCAACACUCGAGCAAAAAUUAAGUUCCUUGUUACUCUACUUUGUGCUCCCAACUUCCGGAGUAUCCGCUCAACGCCAUCACACACUGAUCAUUAAUCUGCAUGAAAAUGAACAACUUGCAUAUUGGGUGUCACAUAUAAGAGUUAUCUGAACUCAACAUCACCGCUCUUUCAUGACCGUCUGUCUGAAACUUGAAGGAAUUUCACCGUCGCCCCGUGUCACUUUGAGUCAAAUUCACAGUUGUCUCACCCUUUUCCCCGGAUAGUCUCUGACAUGUCCCACAACUAUAGCACUCAACCUCCUUCUGUACUUGUCACCCGCACUUUGCCAUGUGCACCGAACACCACAGAAUAUACGGCCAUGUACUCUCUCCGCUUUUGACAAUUUCAGACUUUUCGUCACUUUCACAGAUUCUCCAUGGUCAACUCCUGUCCAUCUUCCGGCACCGAUAAACCCAGUCACCAACUUGAAUCUGGUACUCGUCAAUACUGCUUCAGCACCCAUGCACAAUUUGUCUGACCACCAGUGCCUUGGCCUGUCGCUGUGUCACCGUGCUUACCGCACGCCUCGCCGCUAUCACCGCGUCGAGCCUCUGCUGUCCUGGUCGAGUCUCCCGGGUAGCUAUCCCCCACUAUCUCAACUCCCACUGCAGAGAACCAUCGAUCAUCACCGACCGAUGCCGAGUAUCACGCCUCCAUCAGACCACUGGUACCCGGUCCGAUCCACGUGUCUCUCGCUAUCCCGCUGAAAUAGGCUUCGACUCUCCGAAUUCUUACGCCGUAACCCCUCCAUCAGCACAGAGUGAAGUCAUCCGUCUGACUCCAGCUCCACCUUCAACAUGACUCCAUGGUGGUUGUACGUGCCACCCUCACGCGCCCUGUCGACUCCAAGCUCUCAUGUGCACUGUCUUGAAUCAACCCUGCGCCAUAGUCUGUCGAAGCCGCACAAGCCCUCAAGCCUGCAUCACGUGUUUCCACGCCCCAAAAGCCGGUCACCAUCAGCAUCAUGCUCCUGUGUCGUUGUCGCUGAAAUCACCGCCGUCUUCUACUUUGACUGACAUUCCCGUCGAUCCAUCAGACUGUCCAGUCCAACCCAACCAAAAUUAUCCGACUGCAAUCAUGCUUCACCCUGCGUCGUGUCCGCCUGCACAUCUUCAUGCCUUGCUUAACGCCCUGUGUAUGCAUGAUCCUGCCACGACGAACUCCAGACUCCUCCGAGCCUUAUACGCACGUCGCCAUCCUCGCCACAUACUCUUUGAACCCUCUGAACAAUCUUAAUGGAAAAACUUCCAUGCAAAAUACCUAUUCCUUGCACCAUAAUUUUUUCAUAUCCAUUGCCCAGUACUUGUACGUGUACUCUAGCAGCAAGACAAAUUGUUUCAUCUCUCAACUGCCCCCGUACGCAAUCAAGUUCCGUAUGCAUGUGUCGACAGGCACUAAAGCCUUCUUUUUUUUAACCACAAAUCUCACGAACCAGCCUCGCCACGAUGCACCCUCGACCUGCAACUUGCACGCCAGCCUCUACCCAACUCGCACACGCAUACGGGCCUCUCGCGCAGCAACCCACACGACCUCGCCUAGGCCUGUUGCCGGGCUGCAACGAGCCUAGCUCCUCCAUGUCUGGGCCACCUUGGACGCCACCUAGGCCACGCGCCUGGCUCUGACUUGCCGUUCGCUCGACCCUACACGACGCUUGCGUCAGCCCCUGUCAUCUGCCAGCGAGCCCUCGCCAGCCGCCGCAUCGCGUUAUGCCCGAAACCAAUCUGACGAUCACCAAAGUCGCCCAUAACCUGCUGCCUUUCGCUGAUUCCGUCUGCUUUCCGAUUGCUCUCCUCUAGAUUAACAACCAGCGCUCUUCUCGAACCUUGCUCAUGAUACCACUUGUUAGAAUAAUUUGAGGCACUCCGUCUUCUAUCGAGGACCAAGCAAUCACACAAGCACGACACCGAGAUUUGUUAACGAGGUUCACCAUCAUGGUUACAUCCCCGGGGCCUGACUACGGGCGCUCCUCCCCGUGACACCGUCACAAUACCGCACCACGGCCGCCCGGGCGCCGGCACACGCCGCCGGCUCCCCCGCGUGCCCGUGCUACUAUGUUGGCAUCGUGUGCCUACCCCUGAUAUAUAUGAGAGGCCUAGGAUACAAGUGUCCUAUUAGGACACAACUCCUACCCUGGCUACACACAGUCCAAAUCAAGUCCAACUAUAACCUACCUUGUACAAUAAUAUUCGACAUAAUUCGAACAACAUAGAGCCAAGAUUUCAUUUCAAAAAGACAGAGAGCCAAGAGUUGACAUGUUCUGUGGCCCUCAUGGACCGCCAUCUUGGAGCGCAACUCUGUCAACUUGUCUCUGAUGAAAAUAACCCUGUUGAUUUCUACGUGUUCGCAAGGAUGAGAAAUUACUAGGUAUCACAAGGCAAAAUACCAAGCAAUGAUGCAUGUUGGAUGAUAUUCAGCGAACCUACCGGUUAGAAAGAAGCUGCAGGUUAGGUAGGCCAACGGCACGCAUGUCAUGACGUCAGUUACGGAGUCGGUCAGAAGUCAAGCGGGAGACUUUCUGGGGAGAAGCUGGCCGGUCUGAUAGGCCACCGGCGGCCACCCGGUGAUGGAGCAUCUGCCGGUGUGGGCAAUGUCGAUGGGGAGGCCGCGAUAUGUGGGCCAAUUUCAAAGGGCGUGUUUGGUAUGCGGUGCGGGAGCAUCAUCAGUUGAUGGAGUGAGUCUUGAGAUCACUCAUUAUCUACUAGGUUGGUGCAGGGACACCAUUAGAUUAUUCAUGGGACUGAAAUCAUACAGUUUUCGUCGUGUUUUGGAAGUUCUUAGAGCUAAGGUUGUAGGCUACGAAGAGAGUUAAAUUCUGUAGAGACCGACAGCUGGACACGUCCCCCCUGAUUCCCAUUGAAUUUGGAAUUUCAUAUUGAAUGUGUUACAAAAAUAAUCAUCCCCUAUUAGAUUGCUAUGUUCCAAACAAAGUAGCUUCCUUUCGGCAGUACUCCACAGUUUCUAUCACAGUUCGGUAAAAAAAACUAAAGAUUUUACUGAGCAUACAUUUAUUUAUAGGUUCCCAUAGUAGCACUUAAAAUACAUACCACAUGUAUAAUAUUUGCCUGUGAAAUUUUUACAACAAUUUAUCGACUAGGAUUCUACAAACAUCGCAAACUUUGAAGAAAACUUAAUUGUUUGCUGUCAAAGUCCAACCAUUGCAAAUCGGAAAUAGUCUUUGAACCAUGCAAGCAAAAGGCUACGAUAGGAACCAUCUGCUUUAAGAUUAGCAGAACCGGGUGACAAAGCAUGUUAGAGGGGGGAGAUGUACUGAAAAAAGGUUAGAGGGAAUUUGUGCCAAACCUCACAUUUGGGGCAUUAAACGGACUUGUCUCGGAAAUGGAGCACACAAAUUGUUUCUUAUAAGUACUGAAAAUUAAUUGCCCUCUCUUUUUAUUCAUAAACAAAAUAUCAUGCUGUGUUGUCAAUUGGCCACACAACAUUUUGACAAAAUCUCCAAACACACGUAAAAAACUGCAAAAUAUAGAAUAAACUUCUUAACCACACAUGUAUUUGGCAUCACAAGUUUAAAUUAACGUCACUUGCCAUGCCCAUCUAAAUGCUGUAAACAAAAAGAAAACAUUUGCCUUCAAUGUUUUCACAUUUUAUAUUUGAACGUGGUGUCCUUUUUAUGGUACCAAUUUCUUUUUGUACUUGCGACAUUUUUCAUACUUUGCGUAACAAGUCUGAAUGAUGAUUAGUUAUGCUACAAUUAUGUGUGACAUGUUGGCACACUGAUUUUUGUGAUUUCUUAUUGUUAGUGAGUUGUUUGAAUUAUUAUUUUUGAGCGCUAGUGAGUUGUUUGAUUUUUUUUAGGCGCGUGAGUUUGAUGGCAAUACGAUUUUCCCGUGACAGUCUUGGGCCUAGAUAAUCAAAAUUGAGCAGCACGCAACAGACCAUUGUCCUUUUUGGGCUGGCCUCGAAGGGCUCUUAGAUUUUGUGUUUUUUUCUUCUCUACCAUAUCUUUCAGUUUUCUUUCUGUGUUUUUUCUUUUUUUUUUCUUUUUUGAUGAAGUUUGAUAGGAUAAGUCAGAUUGAAGCCACUUUUAGGGGCACCUCUCAUGCCGAUGCGGUUCAUGCUCAAGCGGCAAAAUCAUUGAGGUCAAAAUCAUGAUUAUUCAUCAUGAAGACCUAGUAGAUAAUAAUUGGACUUCCCGCAUGUCUGCUUUGCUCCUCCCGAGAGUUGUUUCCCUUUUAUAUUGUUCUCCAUUUUUUCUCCUUCUGUUUUUGGUUUUCUAGUUCAUGAACCUUUUUUAGAAAAUUCUCGAAUACUUGUGAAAUUUGCCCGUUUAGUAAGCUCACAAUCAUUUUCUAAAAUUUUGAUUUUAUUUUAAAUUUAUGAACAUUUUUAAAAUUUAUGAACAUUAGCGAACGGGCACACGUUUUCCUUUUCUCACCGAAGAGCGUAGCUGCGAGAGAGCUAUUCUUGUAGGGACGCGACGAUACAGAGGGACGUGAAGGGAGAGACGUGUCAGUUGCCUGUUGACAACGGCAUGGCAGUUAACAAGGGGAGAUUCCCUUCCAAUUAAACAUGUGUGUUUAAUUCUGACAGGCUAGUAACCCCCGCACUGAGCUACUCUUGGCUUGGCUUUGCCUCCCAAAAAUAAAAAGAAACUCGUGGCGAAUCGAAAGCGAACAGGCGCGCCUUGCUGUUCGGUCACGCACAGUAUGGAAUCGAUCGAUGGUGUCGUCUCCACACUCGGCUACCCGGGCGGACGACGCUCGCUUCCUCCGGCGAUGGAGAUCGCGUCCAGCGGCUAACUAGUCGUCGACGCAUCAGUUCCUCGACAUUGGCGCGCUGUUUUUCGUUUUCCCUUUUCCGGCGGGAGCAGAGCAGAGACGGCAGCACGACGAACGUCGCUCGAUCGGCCAGCAUCAUCGCUCCUCACCCAACAUCUCGUGAUUCUCGACGCGUUGGUUUGGUUGGUCUUAAAUCAAUUAUUACUACUCUGUAUUUUUUGACGCGUAGUAAAUCACUCUGCCUCUGUCUCUGUUCUAGCCUGGCACUGGCAGCCGUGUGGUCGCCGCGCCCGCGCCCGCGCGCUGCUCUGUUCUAGCAGUCACCAUGCAUCGCGCCGGUCGGUCGGUAAAAUUCGGUUCGUUUCAAAAAGGAGACUGAUAGGUAUUGGCCCAACGUUGGCCCAGUAUAUAUAUACGCCGAAGAGAGAGAUAAAAACCUCACUAGGGUUCGUCCGUCCCUUGUCAGAGCUCAGGGCUCGGCCGCCGCGCGCCCUAUGCUUCUCUUCUCCGCAAAGCCAGCCAGCCAUGACCCCCCUUCUCCUCCCCCUCCGGUAAGGUACGUACGCGCGUUCCAGUCCAUCCUGGAUUCGACUCUUUCUAAGACGGCGGUGAAUCUGAAUGAAUUUCAGGGGCCCGGGUCAGUAGCGCGCCGGAUCUUUAAAUUCCCGCGGGAGGACUCAUGUGCCGCACCUUCCAGUUCACGCCGGAUUCGACUCCGUUUAUAUACCUCUCUCUAUAUAACGCUGGGGUGAAUUUUUGAAUUGAAUUUCAGGGCCUGUCCGUCCGCAUUUCUUUCUUCUUCAUCAUCAUGGGAGUAAUGCUGCUUAUCAAAUUAUUUAUCCUGAAAUCUAAAAAGUGGCCGCGCACUUUUUGGUCGAACCGAGCGGCCGGCUCUCACAACGCAUGCAUGUGGUAAUUUAUUUGUCUGCUAGUGCAUGUAGCCGUGGCAUUAAAUACGUUCACACUGCUCCUUUAGUUUAAGAAAGACAGAUCCAUCUGCAUUUGUUUCGGGUUUUUAAAAAUUCAAAAAGCUAUAUCUUUCAAACCGCGCGUCGGAAUUCAAAUCUAUUUUCACCAUUGAAAUCCUCGCGACGAGAUCUUUGAAACUAGAUCCCGCAUGGGUAUAUUUUGACGAAUUUUUUUCGAUGCCAACUUUGAAGCUAUAUAGUGCAACUCUAUUACUGCAUUGUGCAACUUUAUUACUACAUCGUGCAACUUUUUUCCAAAACUAAUGUUUGGAGUUGUGCCUUCGUAUGAGGUUACAACCUAGCAACCACGACAACUUUGAUGUGCGACUAGUCUAUUGCCUCGACGAAAGUCGAUGUGCAACCUCCUUUUGUAAUGUAGUCUAGUCGCACACGCAUUGAUGUUUAGUUGGCUUGUAAUGUAGUCUAGUUGCACAUACAUUGAUAUUAAGUUGGCUUGUAAUGUAGUCUAGUUGCACACACAUUGAUGUUUAGUUGGCAGAAAGACUAAUUGCACACGCAUAUGCUUAGUUGACUUGUAAUUUAGUCUAGUUGCACACACACUGAUGUUUAGUUGGCAGGACACUAGUUGCACACACAUAUGCUCAGUUGGCGUGGCAAUCUAGUCUAGUUGCACACACAUUGAUGUUUAGUUGGCAGGACUUUUUUGGCACACACACAUAUGCUCAGUUGGCGCGGCAAUCUAGUCUAGUUGCACACACAUUGAUGUUUAGUUGGCAGGAUGACUAGUUCGUCGAAACAUCCCCAUGCGGGAUAUAGUUUUGAAGAGCACGUUGCGAGGAUUCCAGCGGUGAAAACGGAUCUUAAUUCCGACGCGCGGUUUGGAAAAUAUAGCUUUUUAAAAAUUUGAAAACCGAAACAAAUGCAUAUGUGAUCUAUUUUUUCCAACUGAUUGUGACCGAUGUGAAUGUAUUAAAUGCUAAAAGAUACAUGCGCUAGCGGACAAAAAUUACACGCAUGCAUGUUUAUGCAGAGCAGACGCUAGCGGAUAAAAGAAUUUUUAUUUUAGGCCGGCCGCUCGCGCAUGCCAGCGAGCAGCCGGCCGCUAUGUAGACUCGUCCAUUAUUUAUAUGACCGGAUCAAUAACACAGCAGCACAAGUAGAGGAUUCCACCUACGGAGUGCAAGCUAACUCGGUUUUACUCCGGUGUAUGGAUAACUUAUAAUUUAUUUAUUUUUUAUUUGCAAAAAAAAACUUAUAAUUUUUUUGGAAUAAUAAUAAGAGUAAUAAUCGGCGAGCUCGUGUAGCUGCAGUCGGAUUAGGACCCUCCCUCCCUUUCCGACUGGGAGGGGGCUUUAAUUGCUGCUCCCGGUGCAGCGCUAGUCAUUAUUUUAUAAAUAGUGGCAGAAUUAGGACCAGGAUUGGCCUGUGAUAAUCAAGCCUCCACGCUCGCCUCAAAGAUUCAUUCCAUUCAGACCGAACCACCGAAAUAGUGCUACCCACAGCUCCAAUGGAGCUGAAUAAUAGCGAUAACAACGACGGUUCCCUCAGCCAAGUAAGUUCCCUCUCUUCUUGAUCGCCAUGCCUCUUUGUUCUCAAUCUAACACUGUAAACUCUUAACAGUUAUUGUAGCUAGCAUGCCAUGUAAAUGUUGACUGUUUUAUCCUUUAAGUUGUUUGCCUAGCGUGCUAUGAGCCAAAUUACCUAUAUCACGUGGUUUUGACAGACUGAAAUACCUCUGAAUAAUCAGAGCCAAAAACUAUGGCCAGAUUUGGGUUCAAAGUUUCGCCAUGCCGCGGUGUCUUCGUUUUGUUUUUGGCCCCCUUCAACAUGCACUAGUAGAAAAAGGGUCAAAUGUGAGACCAGGGCCAAGUCUUGAGAUUUCGGGGGCCCGGGGCGAAAGUAGAACUGAGGGCCCCCUAAUAUAGACAUCGAAUCGAAAUAUAUAGUAUGUAUAUUUGAUGUCCCUUCAUUUCGCUAUCAAGAUUAUUUCAAAUUCUUAUAUCACAAAUAUUCAUAAUAUUUUUUUAUAAAUGCUACUAAAUCUAAGCAAAUAAAUUAAAUAUGGACUCAUGAUCACUCAAAUAAUUUCAAAUGUCUCGACUUCGGCAGCAUAUCUUCCAUAGGGCCUUCAUCCUCUUGAUUAACAAUAGUUUGCUUUUCCACAGCAAAUACCACUGCCUCAUUCAGAUCACCUGAAUCGCUCAUAUUCCUCUUGAAAACAAUAUUAGCGGAAUAUAUAUAUAUAUAUAUAUAUAUAUAUAUGCAAUUUGAUCAACUCAUCUCUAUAUAUGAAGUAAACAAUUAGUACAUGUAAACCACAACAACGCCUGAUAAUGCCCUUUCACAGCANNNNNNNNNNNNNNNNNNNNNNNNNNNNNNNNNNNNNNNNNNNNNNNNNNNNNNNNNNNNNNNNNNNNNNNNNNNNNNNNNNNNNNNNNNNNNNNNNNNNNNNNNNNNNNNNNNNNNNNNNNNNNNNNNNNNNNNNNNNNNNNNNNNNNNNNNNNNNNNNNNNNNNNNNNNNNNNNNNNNNNNNNNNNNNNNNNNNNNNNNNNNNNNNNNNNNNNNNNNNNNNNNNNNNNNNNNNNNNNNNNNNNNNNNNNNNNNNNNNNNNNNNNNNNNNNNNNNNNNNNNNNNNNCCUCAUCUGGCGUACGUGAGGACGGGGGAUGUGGCGAGGUUGUCUAGGCUCCGCUGCGCCGAUCGGCGUCGUGGCCUCACUGGGCGAUGAGGACGAGGUACAGGCACACAGCCGGCAACCACGCAGAUGAUUAAUUGAGCAGACUGUAGGAGAUGAGGAGAAAAUUGACACCUGGCAAUAGCGUCGUGCGUGCGCCGCCGCAUUUGUUUGCUUGAAUCGCCGAUCAACCGAUGCGCCGGUAACACCUCGAUCCGUUCGUGGUGCGUGGAUAUGCAUUUUUUUUCCUUUUGAGGGACGUGGAUAUGCGUUACUAACAGCCCUGCUAAUUACUACUUGGGCUAGGCCCACUCAUUUCCUAAGCUGUGAAGAGUACGCUGCCCCGCUGGAGAAGGAAGGUGUGUGCGCCCCUGAAGUUUCGCCCCUAGUUACAGACUUCCCUGAAUUCCCCGACGGAUACCUGCGUACGUACCUCGGUACCUGGGCGGGGGGCCCUCGAGUUUGGGGGCCCGGGGCGGCCGCCCCCCUGCCCCUCCCCAAGGCCGGCCCUGUGUGAGACACAUUAGCCGGUUCUAACGGCCAGGCGGGAGGAGAUCUUUAGUACCGGUUCGUGGCGAACCUUUAGCACCGGUUCGUACCACGAACCGGUACUAAUGAGAGUAGUGGCAGGAUGUUGUCAGAGUGGGGCCCCUCCAGCACCUUUAGUAUCGCUUUGUGCCACGAACCGGUACUAAAGGUCGUCUUAUAUAAACCCUUCGUCCAUCAGCACUCUGUUCUUCCCCCUUUCCCCUCACCCUCUCCUCUGUUCUUCCCUUCUCCUCUCGAGUUCAUCACAAAAUUUGCCCCAAAUUUGUCAAGAUUUGCAGGCCCCCAUCCAUUCAAAUGAUCACAAAGAUUAGCAACUUUGUCCUUUCAUCUCCCAUUGCUAGAUUAGCUCUUGCAUUGGUUUAUAUAGUGAUUAAUUGUGGGUUUUAGUAAUUUGGGAGGAAUUAUAUGUGGUAGUAUUUGAUUUAUAUGCAAAUUGAGGUCAGAAUAACACUUAGUUUGCAUAUGUAGGUGUGGUUUACUUAGUGCCUUCUAAAUCUCCGUCGUAACCACCGUCGAUCGCCCGCACCGCCCGUCGCCGACACCACCUUAUGGUGAGCCUCUUGUUCAUGAAAUUUUAUAUAAAAAAUUGAUGUUUGUGUGAUUUCGAUAUAUAGUUACUCGUAUAAUUAUCUUACCCGUAUGUUGUUUGUUAUACAUAGUGCCAUGGUUUUGAUAUCCGUCCCCGUCGGCCCUCGUCCUUGUUAUGAUUUAGAUGUGGUAUAUUUUCUUUUAAAAUUAUUUGUUGCAUUCCGUGUUUAUGACAAAUUAUGCCCAUCAAGCUGACAUAGAUAUUUGUAUGUAGAAGGUAGUUGAACAGGAAAUUCCAACCGACCCUAUUAUCGAGAGGCUAAAUUUAGUUGAAAGAGAAAACGAGGAUUUGAAAGAAAAAUUGAAAAGAAUUAAGGGGGAGAAGAUGGAAUUGGAGUUGCAUGUUGCUGAUGUCGUCGAUGAUCACAAGAUUAAGAUGGAGAAAAUGCGCUUGAAGAUUAGAAAGAUUAGAAAAUAUGCCAUUCAUAGUGAGGCUUGGUAUUAUUAUGCCGUUGGAUCAAUUGUUACCUUAGUUGCGAUCUUGAUCGCAUUUGUUGUUGCAUUUAAAUUCUUUAGCUAGAGAGUUAUUUGUUUGUUGCAUUUAAGUGUUGUAUGAACUUUAUGUAUUGUAUUAAUUUGGUGUUUUCGGUGUUGUGUAUUGAAGAUGAGCCGGCAAUGGAUGUACGAUGACCGAUGCUCUCCCGAGUUCAUUAAUGGCGUGCAUACUUUUCUGCUUGCGGCUGAGGCAAACAAGCGGGCGGAUGGUUUUAUGCCUUGUCCAUGUGCUGGCUGUAAGAAUGAUCACAAUUACUCUACGUCAAGAACCAUUCACGUCCACCUGUUUGAGUCCGGUUUUAUGCCCCACUAUAAUGUUUGGACCAAGCAUGGAGAAAGAGGGGUUAUGAUGGAAGACAAUAAAGAAGAAGAGGACGACGACAGCUAUCCUGGCCAUGGGUUCCCUGAAUACAAUGAUACAACAAUGAGGGGAGAAGCUGAGCCGGUAAUGCGGGAAGAAACUGAGCCGGCAAUGCGGGAAGAAGCUGAAGAAGAGGCAUCGGAUGAGCCCGUUGAUGAUCUAGGUCGGGCCAUUGCCGAUGCAAAGAGAAACUGCGCAACUGAUUUGGAGAAGAAGAAGUUGCAGCGCAUGUUAGAGGAUCACAAAAAAUUGUUGUACCCGAAUUGCGUAGGUGACAAGAAAAAGUUGGGCACCACACUGGAAUUGCUGCAAUGAAAGGCAGAGAAUGGUGUAUCUGACAAGGGAUUUGGAAAGUUGCUGGUAAUGAUAAAUAAUAUGCUUCCAAAGGACAACGAAUUGCCCGAGAGUACGUACAAAGCAAAGAAGGUUGUCUGCCCUUUAGAGUUAGAGGUGCAGAAGAUACAUGCAUGCCCUAAUGAUUGCAUCCUCUACCGCGGUGAGUACGAGGAUUUGAACGCUUGCCCGGUAUGCGGUGCAUUGCGCUAUAAGAUCAGCCGCGAUGACCCUGGUGAUGUCGAGGGCGAGCGCCCCAGGAAGAAGAUUCCUGCCAAGGUGAUGUGGUAUGCUCCUAUAAUACCACGGUUGAAACAUUUGUUCCAAAAUAAAGAGCAUGCCAAGGCGAUGCGAUGGCACAGAGAAGACCGUAAGAAAGACGGAUAGUUGAGAGUACCCGCUGACGGGUCGCAGUGGAGAAAAAUCGAGAGAAAGUACGAGAAGGAGUUUGCAGAUGACGCAAGGAACGUAUGGUUUGGUCUAAGCGCAGAUGGCAUCAAUCCUUUUGGGGAGCAGAGCAGCAACCAUAGCACCUGGCUUGUGACUAUGUUUGUAUAACCUUCCUUAUUGGUUGUGCAUGAAGCGGAAGUUCAUUAUGAUGCCAGUGCUCGUUCAAGGCCCUAAGCAACCCAACAACGAUAUUGAUCUGUACCUAAGGCCAUUAGUUGAAGAACUCUUACAGCUGUGGAAUGGAACAGGUGUACGUGCGUGGGAUGAGCACAUGGGGGAAGAAUUUGACCUAAAGGUGUUGCUGUUCGUGACCAUCAAUGAUUGGCCUGCUCUCAGUAACCUUUCAGGACAGACAAAUAAGAGAUACCGCGCAUGCACGUAUUGUUUGGACGAUACUGGCAGUAUAUAUUUAGCUAAUUGUAAGAAGAAUGUGUACCUGGGACAUAGUCGAUUUCUUCCGAGCAGGCAUGCCGUAAGAAAGAAAGGCAAGCAUUUUAAAGGUGAGGCGGAUCACCGGACGAAGCCUCGCCACCGUACUGGUGCUGAUGUAUAUGAUAUGGUCAAGGAUUUGAAGGUAGUCUUUGGAAAGGGUCCUGGCGGACAACCUGUUCCGAAUGACGCUGACGGACGCACACCCAUGUGGAAGAAGAAAUCUAUAUUUUGGGACCUGCCCUAUUGGAAAGACCUAGAGGUCAGCUCUGCAAUCGACGUGAUCCACGUGAUGAAGAAUCUUUGCGUGACCCUGCUUGGCUUCUUAUGCGUGUAUGGGAAGACAAAAUAUACACCUGAGGCAUGGGAGGACCAGCAACGUAUGCACGGAAAAGAUGGCAUACAUCAGGGUCAUGACAGCUACGCUCUUACCAAAGAAGAGAAGGAAAUCUUUUUUGAAUGCAUGCUCAGUAUUAAGGUACCGUCUGACUUCUUGUCGAAUAUAAAGGGAAUAAUAAACAUGGCAGAGAAAAAGUUCCAGAACCUAAAGUCUCAUGACUGCCACGUGAUUAUGACGCAACUGCUUCCGGUUGCAUUGAGGGGGCUUCUAUCGGAAAACGUUCGAUUAGCCAUUGUGAAGCUAUGUGCAUUCCUCAAUGCAAUCUCUCAGAAGGUAAUCGAUCCAGAAAUCAUACCAAGGUUAGAGAAUAAUUUGGUGCAAUGUCUUGUCAGUUUCGAGUUGGUGUUCCCACCAUCCUUCUUCAAUAUCAUAACACACGUCCUAGUUCACCUAUGCGAAGAGAUUAACGUUUUGGGUCCUGUAUUUCUACACAAUAUGUUCCCCUUUGAGAGAUUCAUGGGAGUCUUAAAGAAAUAUGUUCAUAACAGUGUUAGGCCAGAAGGAAGCAUCUCCAAGGGCCAUGAAAAUGAGGAGGUCAUUGAGUUUUGUAUUGACUUUAUUCCUGACCUUAAGCCGAUUGGUGUUCCUGAAUCGCGGCAUAAGGGCAGACUGGAUGGAAAAGGCACGCUAGGAGGGAAUCAAAUAAUAUGUAUGGACGGACAUUCUCUAACUGAAGCACACUACACAGUUCUACAGAAUUCCGCCUUGGUGGCUCCGUAUAUGGACGAACACAAGAAUUUUCUACGCUCCAAACACCCGGAGCGGUCUGAUGACUGGAUUACAUGUGAACAAAUCAGGAGUUUCGCCGGCUGGUUGCAGACACGUACCAUGCAUGACGCCUCUAUUGAAGAUGACAUGUACUCGCUGUCCCGGUUACCAUCUUCGAAUAUAAUGACUUUCAAAGGGUACGAGAUAAAUGGUAAUACAUUUUACAUGAUCGCCCAAGAUAAGAAGAGCACCAACCAAAAUAGUGGUGUCCGCUUUGAUGCAGAAACCAAGACAGGAAAGGAAACAUAUUAUGGCUAUAUAGAGGAGAUAUGGGAACUUGACUAUGGACGUGGUUUGAAGGUCCCUUUGUUUCCGUGUAAAUGGGUCAAUAUGACACGAGGCGGGGUAACGGAAGACCUGCAGUACGGAAUGACAACAGUGGAUCUCAACAAUCUUGCCUAUGCAGACGAACCAUUUGUCCUAGCUAAUGAUAUGACACAGGUUUUCUAUGUGAAGGAUAUGUCUACCAAGCCGAGAAAAAGAAAAGAUAAGGAAGCGAAUGCAUCAUACGAUGAGCCAAAGCGCCACAUAGUUCUUUCUGGGAAGAGAAACAUCGUGGGAGUGGAUGACAAGAUAGACAUGUCAGAGGAUUAUGAAAAGUUUGAUAAAAUUGCUCCAUUCACAGUGAAUAUUGACCCGAGCAUCCAGUUAAAUGAUGAAGAUUUUCCAUGGCUACGGCGCAAAGGGACACACGCGAAGAAAAAGUUUCACACCCAAAGAUCUGGGAUGUGAUCGACUUCACUAUCAUCACUUUCUUCUAUGUUUCACAUUCAGGAGGAAUCUCUGUAAUAGUUAGGGUAGUUAUGUGUUUUGGCAUUUGAAACGCGAAGAAAUUUUAUGUGCAAACAAAUUCUUUCAUGCAUUUACUGAUUUUUUUCAGUUAAAUAACCCUGAAAUUGAAAAGCAUUUCAAAUAAACUCAGAAAAGGUUGAAAGUUGGCAUAGUAUCAUAAUUUCACCCACAUAGCAUGUGCAAAAAAGUAGAGAGGGUUACCGCAAAAACUGGAUGCAUUUCAUGUACAAAAUGGACAAUCUCUUUUGAAGUAUCAAGGUUUCGGACGAAAACUCAUCCGUUACAAAGGCAUUUCAUUUUUUAAAUAAUCUAAGCAUUACCAAAUUGAAUAUAAUGAUAAAACACACUAAUAUUAAACAUAAGAAAAAAGAAUCACUGAAAAAAUCUAUUUUCAAAGUUAAGUUAUUCACAGACUAGUGAUUCACAAAAAAUUCAAAUAAUUCAAAAUAUAAACUAUUCAAAUUUGAAAAUUACCGGCACUAACAGAAAGUUUGUAAUUUUUUGUACCUAAAGCAAAAAUAUUCACAAAGAAACUCAAAAUACAGCAAAAACAACUAAAAAUAAAUAAAGCGGAAAAGAAAAAAAAUACUAAAUGAAAAAAAGUCCACCUACUGGGCCAUAGCGGCCUGCAUAUGACAAGAAAUCCAAAUUCUAGUUGGGCCAGGAUGCAGGCCCGCUAGCCCAGUAGGCCCAACAGGGCAUCGCAGCAGAGGUAGGCCCAGAAGGCCUGCUUUAGAGAGGAGCUCGAGACAACAGCGGCGGCGGGGCUUAUAAGCAGGUGCGAGUGCCCCUCGGCUAGCAAGGUGGGACUAAAGUUCUGCGCCUCUCGAUUGGCAGCGCACACCCUUUAGUACCGGGUCGUGGCUCCAACCGGUACUAAAGGGGGGGCCUUUAGUACCGGUUGGUGCCACGACCCGGUACUAAAGAGGGUGCGGUUCCCGCCGCUUCGCCUGGUCAAAACAGACCUUUAAUACCGGUUGGUGGCUCCAACCGGUACUAAAGGUGGGUUCUAUAUAAGAAAACACUUCAAAAAAAAAUUCAGUUUCUCAUCUCUCCCUCNNNNNNNNNNNNNNNNNNNNNNNNNNNNNNNNNNNNNNNNNNNNNNNNNNNNNNNNNNNNNNNNNNNNNNNNNNNNNNNNNNNNNNNNNNNNNNNNNNNNNNNNNNNNNNNNNNNNNNNNNNNNNNNNNNNNNNNNNNNNNNNNNNNNNNNNNNNNNNNNNNNNNNNNNNNNNNNNNNNNNNNNNNNNNNNNNNNNNNNNNNNNNNNNNNNNNNNNNNNNNNNNNNNNNNNNNNNNNNNNNNNNNNNNNNNNNNNNNNNNNNNNNNNNNNNNNNNNNNNNNNNNNNNNNNNNNNNNNNNNNNNNNNNNNNNNNNNNNNNNNNNNNNNNNNNNNNNNNNNNNNNNNNNNNNNNNNNNNNNNNNNNNNNNNNNNNNNNNNNNNNNNNNNNNNNNNNNNNNNNNNNNNNNNNNNNNNNNNNNNNNNNNNNNNNNNNNNNNNNNNNNNNNNNNNNNNNNNNNNNNNNNNNNNNNNNNNNNNNNNNNNNNNNNNNNNNNNNNNNNNNNNNNNNNNNNNNNNNNNNNNNNNNNNNNNNNNNNNNNNNNNNNNNNNNNNNNNNNNNNNNNNNNNNNNNNNNNNNNNNNNNNNNNNNNNNNNNNNNNNNNNAUCCCCGCCCGGCCCGUCCCUGUCCCUGUCGUCACCGCCCGUCUCCGUCCCCGUCGCCGCCCCCCGUCGCCGCGCCUCGCCGGUGAGCUCCAGCCCCGACCGCCAUGUCCACACACACACACACAUUGUUAUAGAAAUGUUAGCAAUUUUUCUGUUUUUUAGUUAUAGAAAUAUUAGAAAUGUUAGUUAUAUAGAAAUAUUUUUUAGUUAUAGUAAUAUUAGAAAUGUUAGUUAUAUACAAAUAUUAGAAAUGUUAGUUAUAUAGAAAUGUUAGUUAUAUACAAAUAUUAGAAAUGUUAGUUAUAUAGAAAUGUUAGUUAUAUUAGAAAUGUUAGUUAUAUAGAAAUAUUUUUUAGUUAUAGAAAUAUUAGAAAUGUUAGUUUUACUUAUAGAAAUAUUAGAAAUGUUAGUUUUAGUUAUAAAAUUUAGAAUUUGCAUAUAUGAAAUCACAAUCCAUCAUUUAAAAAAUGUUACUUUACUUUUGCGACAUAUAGUAUUUGUUGUCGACGAUGCCCGGCCCGCAUCCUCGCCAUCGACCAGUUCGCGACGACGUCCUGCUUCAGACGACCCAUGUCCGGGACUGGGCUCCGCCGGGCUGGCACUGGGAGGUGCUACCUUCAGGGGCGCGACGCUUGGUGAGGAACCCGGCCCCGGGUCCCGUCGUCGACCCUGAUCUCUUUUGGUGGUGUUCGCGUGGGCCACUUUCGGUGCGGAGGGAGCCGGCCCCGCCGGAGGUGGUACGUCGCCGUGUCAGAGAGGAAGACGAGCACGUCCAUCGCUACAUGGCUGCUAUGGACGUCAGGUUCUCCAAUACCUGGCAGGUUCUUUCGGGAGAUCACCCGAGCUAUGAUCCAAUGAUGAUUCCUUCACUUUGGUUGUCCAUCGCCCGCGCCUCAGGAACCGCGAGUGGCCUAGAUUACUCUCUAGUAUUCGAUCUUUAUUAGCUAGCUAACUAGUGAUGUAUUCGAUAUAUAAUAUUCGAGAUGAUUUAUUCGAGAUUAUAUAUAUUAUUCGAGACGAUGUAUUCGAGAUUAUAUCUAUUAUUCGAGACAACAUAUUCGAGAUUAUAUUCGAUGAUGCUUAUUAUGUACUAUGAUUGAUUCAGUUUUUCCUUAUUAAUUGAUUGCAUCCAUGCAUUGUAAUUUGAAUAUAUUUCUUUUGGAUUAGUUAAAUAAAACCUAUGGCGGACAAUACCGGCAGAGAGGGAGAAGAGGCCCUGUUCAAUAUCAUAUGCAAUCCUCGUGGGCCAGAUGAUGAUCAGAAUGAAGAAGAUUAUGAUGACUCCGAAUAUCUAAACAACACCGGGGAGAGUGAUAUGAUAUUUGAUCGCGACGACCGAAUUGAUGAAGUCAUGAACUAUGAACUUGACGAAAAAAAUGUUGAUCUUGAAACAACAAAUACCGGUGAGGUAUAUUUAUAUAAGGAGGCAUCUGGUGAUCAUGACAUGUUUUAAAUGACUUGAAGAUAUAUAUUAAUGAAUCGAUCUUUCUUCUUUCAGCCAUCCGGAUCGAGCAAAUCUUCAGGCAGCAGGACAGUACGAGGCCCGAACAAAAAGUUGAAGGAGGGCGUAAAGUACAAUAUCGAGGCCAUCAAACCUAAUGGCGAACCAUUAGCGCCUAAGAAGAUUGCGGACAAGUUCAUUCGUCAAUGCGGAGUUCUUGUGAAGGACCAACUCCCGAUCUCCCUUCAAGAAUGGAGAGAGCCAGCAAAGCCACAUCCAGAUCUUACUUUUGUCGAUGACAGACAAAAACUUCUGCUUUGGGAAACGCUCAUGGAACAUUUCACCCUACCAGAUCAUUUCACAGAUGCAGAUGUGGAGAAAGUCAAGGACGCUGCUCUUAGGAAGAUGGCGGUUGCAUUCAACAACCACAAGAAUCGUGUAUGGGACCACUACGUCAAGGGAGGAAAUAAGACUCCAGUAUUCAAGGGAACACUAGAGAAGCAAAGUGCUCAUUGGGAUGAUUUCAUGAAAUUCAAUGAAUCGAAAUUAUCUAAGGAACGGUCGAGAAUAAACAAGGUAAAUGCCGCAAAAAAGGAUAAGUUUCAUAAGCUGGGGCCAGGUGGCUACGCGGUGGCAAUGCCUAAGUGGGAUAAGUCUGAGAAAGAGAUGGAGGAUGCAGGUGUCACUCCAGAAACAUUGAGCUGGCCCCCCCAGGUGCAGGACUUGGUUCUAUGCGCAUGGGGGGGAGUUGGACCCGAAGACAGGUAAAGUUUCGAAGAAGACAUGUCUGGACGGAGCCGAAGAUAAGCUACUUGUUGCAAUAGAAGAGGCUCGAUCGGGGGUGUUCCAGCCCAACAGAGAGAACGACGAGCUUACGCGUGCCCUGGAAAAUCCUGAACACCCAGGAAGAACACGAGGCAAGGGCGCUAUUCCAAUGUAUGAGGGGUUUUCGGGCUAGAACACCGACUACAGAACUCGUGCGAGAAAGAAGAUUGCAGAGGAGAAGAAGAGGAAGAUGGAGGAGGAGCAGAGGAAGCUGGACUAUGAAUGCCUUCAAGGCCUAGAAUCAGCGCACACGGACUUGGCAGUCAAAUUCCAGUGGCAGCAGGAGCAAAUUGACUCACUUAGCCAGCAAAGGGGGUCUCAGCAGCUGCAGCAGCUAGCGGAUGAUCCAGCAUUGGGUAGCACCGUCCCAUCCAUGCCGAGAAACAAUGUGGGUUCCGCCCCGGGCGACGCAAUGCUGGAUAGAUACCCCGUGGAUGACAUCAUGGAGAACACUAACUGCGAGCUACACUUCAAAAUGAAGAACAUAUCCAUGAAGGUGGCGGACGCAGUUGCUUUUACAAAUCCCCCCGAGGCAACCUUCCAUUGCAACCCGAUUCCAGCGGGCUAUGCUCGUGUCUUGGUUGAUGAGGUGGUGGACCAAUAUUCGGGGCUAGAGCUUGACAUUCCUGGAGGUGACGAGGAGCACACACUGGGAGAGGCCAACCAUCGUAUCAUUCUAUGGAGAAAGGAUUGCAUCAUCUUUCGAAGGCCACCAACACCGCGUCAGCCGACUCCUCGUCGAAGUCCGCCACUGAGUCAGCAGACUCCCGCUCCUCCAAGUCCACCAACGCGUCAGGCCACUCCUCCUCCAAGUCCGGCUAAGCGCCAGGCCACUCCUCCUCCAAGUCCGGCAUAGCUUCAGGCCACUCCUCCUCCCCCAAGUUCGGCAAAGCGUCAGGCCACUCCUCCUCCAAGUCCGUCACAGCUUUAGGCCACUCCUCCUCCUCCAACUCAGCCACGUCAGCCGUCUUCGUUGCCUUAGCAAUCACGGAAGAGAGCCGCCUCAGCUAUGGUGCGUAGCGGUACAAGUCGAGGUAGUACUGGAGGUACAGGCGGAGGCAAGCGAUUUCAAUAUGGUCCAAGCAGCCUCGCGCCUCUUCCGCAGAGGCCUUACGACAAGUCCGAGGAGGAAAACGCAGCCAUAUCGAAGGCCGAGGUGGAAGCCCAUUUUGCACUGAAACCGCCACCACCGCCAAGGGAGAAAGUGCCUGAGGAAAAGAUUGACCACUUCAUUCGUAUGGCUAGACCACCAGCUCCCAAGCCUGUUGACACAGACUAUGAGCGCCACCUCAGGAAGUUAAAUCGAGCACGUCUACAGAAAGAGGCGAGCUCGAGCUCGAGCAAAUCAGCUGGCAAAAUGAGCGGUAAAACCGUUCCCCAGCUAGAAGAACAGACGGCGCAAUCAAUCCUCCCACUUGUUGUGCCAACAACACAUGAGAGUAGGCGCGCCCAAUAUUAUUGUGGGCAAACUGUUAACGUUCCCGGGCUGGGCGAUGUGGUAAUAACCGAGGAGCAUAUUGAGCAGGCUAAAAGGCUCAUGAUCACUGUUGGAUAACUCCUCGAUAUCGAGCCCAUGUCUCUGCUUAGAGAGGAGGAAAUAAAACACAAAUAUGUCCGGGGGCAACCUUUGGUUGAGCCAGACGAGGUCAAGAAGCUCCCAACAAGAAUGUAUGAAUUGCAUCAAUGGUACAUAGACAUUACCAAGAUUUCCAAUCGAGAGUCCCUCAUGGUGAAUGUCAAGAAGGAUCAUUACUUCCAUGAGAAAGAUGUGUCCGUUGAGUAUUCAGAACUAUUUCAGUUAUACAAUCAAGACGCACUCGACAAAUCUAUCGUCGGUUGCUAUUGUGUGUAGGUGAUUUCUUUCUGUAAUUUAAGUCUCAAGCUAGCUGUAGUGAUCAUUUUGAUCAAUCAUUACCUGUAAUUAUUCUCAUUAUAUUCUUUUCUGUGGUAUUAUACAGGAUGAAGAUGUAUGAAAUGAAAAAAAGGUGGACGCUAUGGCAUUGGGUUCAUUGACCCAAAUACCAUUAAUGAAUACACAUGGAAAUUAGAUGCAUAUUAUAAAAAAAGUGUAGAGGAAAGCAUGCUAGAGUUCUUCAAUCGCCUCAAAUACAAUGAAGAUAUACUACUUUCUUACAACUUCGAGUGAGUCACACUGUCUUGUACUACAAAUUCUGUUUUUGCCUACUAGCUAGCUACAUGUUUUUGCUUACAUAUGCCCGCUUAAUUAAGACAUACAAACGUGUGUGCAUGCAGAUUUCACUAGAUCUUGUUAAUCAUUAAAGUUGAUGAAGGAACAGUUGAAAUACUGGACUCACUACUUAAAAAAACAAGUGACUACACCAUCUUGUUUGGGAUAGUUAACAGGUAAUUUCAAUCAUUAUUAACUAUAUCUUGACCUAUUUAGUUCGUCAUUUCCUGAUAUGAACUAUUUAAUAACCCCUUUAUUCAUUUUCUUUGUCGGCGGGCAGGGCUUGGGCAAAGUUCAUCAGCGUCACUCCAGGCCAAUGGAAACGAAAAAUGAAAUGGUAUCGACCCAAGGUAAGUAAUUAAGUAGUAUUAGCUAGCUAGCUGCCAUCUCUUUAAUUAUCAUGUUUGAUUAAUUAUUAUCUGAUCAAAUUCCAUUCUCGUAAAGACCCUGAAGCACGCGCCGGGGAAUAAUCUGUGUGCAUACUACGUUUCCGAGAACAUUCGCAUGAUGGCGUCUGAAAGGAGCAGAUCUCAAAGACAGGACUGGGUACGUUUGUCAAAAUACUAUUCACAAUUUUUACACCAUUAUUGAUAUCUAGUCACACAACUAAUACCCAUGCAUAUUGAUCUCCUUCUUAACAGUUCAGAAAGGUGCGGGAGCAGCUCCUAGCAGAGGACCGCAUAGAAGCAAUUCAAGAGGAAAUAGCAGGAUUUUUGCUCGACCAGGUCAUAGAUCUCAAAGGAGAAUACUAUUACCCGCUACCGCCCCUAUGAACCACUUCCAAUUGUCAUCGUGCUCCGAAGGCACCAAUUAGGCUAAUGCCACUGGCUCCGAAGGCACCAAUUUGGAGAAAUUGUAUAUAGCUAGCUAAUUGUAUAUAUAUAUACAUGUGUGUGUAUAUGUGUGAAUUAAUGGUGGUUGUGAGACAUUCGAUGAUAUAUAUAUAUAUAUGAUCGGUUCUACUAGAAAUUCUAUUUAUGUAUAUGCAUAACGUGUACAAUAUGUAGUAUCGUAAAAUACCAGCAAACAAAAAAGAAUUAAAUAGAAAACACAAAAUUAAAUGAAAAAGAAAUCAUAAACCAAAAACCCUCCAGCCUUUUAAUACCGGUUGGUGUCACCAACCGUUACUAAAGGGCUCCCUGCCCCCGGAGCUGGCUCGUGCCACGUGGUUGCCCUUUAGCACCGAUUCGUGCUGAACCGGUACUAAAGGGGGGGGGGGGGGCUUUAGUGCCCACACUUUAGUGCCGGUUACCGAACCGGCACUAAAGGGCCUUACGAACCGGUGCUAUUGCCCGGUUCUACACUAGUGAUGUACAACUAUGAACCCGGACAUAAUGGUUUUUUGGACAUUUAGAUGAUUGUAUUGGAAGGAAAACAGGCGGCAAUGAUACGAAGAAAAACAUACACCGAUCUAAAGAGAUGUCUAUCUUUGUUCUCAAGCUCCAGUUUACAUCUUCCUGUUGUAGCCAAAGGUUGUGAUGGGAAUGAAUUUUCUUUUCUUUUUGUGAUGCAUACUUUCAUAAUGAAGUUUGGAACCGCCCAGGUGGAGGGCGACAAUGAGCAGGAUAUGUUUAUUAUGGCCAUGAAGGUUGUUCCUAGGACCAUCCACAGAAGACUGCACAUUGCUUACUUUAGAUGGGAGUGUAGCUGUGCAGCCUGGCAGAUUUAGCCAUCAGAUCGAUACUAAUCAACAGCGGUAGUUGUGUUUCCACCUUGGAAUUCAAAGUUUCAGAGUAGUAGAGAUAAUCAAACAAUUUACAUGCUACAGAGAUUGUAGUUCCAGUCACCACGUGUAACUAUUCUCCGUUUAGUUUUUUUUUAAAUAAAGUUAUGUGGCAGCUAAAUAAUGGAUACUUGAUUUAUGUUGCAGCAACUGGACGACCAAGAUAGGCUCAGCACUCUCACUGAUGAUAUUUUACUCUCCAUCUUGGGGAGAGUCAGUACACGUUUGGCUGCAAAGACAAGUGUGCUCUCUACACGGUGCAGGCAUCUUCACAGGUUGCUGCCUGAGCUCAGCAUCGAUGUAAAGGAUUUCCUAUCCGCUCCGUCUGCUGACCCAAUUGAGGCAAAUGACAUGGAGCAAGCUAUGGUGUCUUUGACCAAAGCAACCAGGUGUUUGUUGGAUAAACAACACAGAUAAUACACCAUCUCAAGUUUGCAGCUUAAUCUCUAUCUGUUCAACACUUCCUUUUGCGAAGUUGGCUCACUGAUAGGUGACGCAAUUGACAGUGGAUUGUUGAAAGAUUUGGAUCUCACCAUUCUUGAUGAGACGGAUCCUUUGGACUCUGUCGAGGAGGAUAUGCUGCAGCGAGGCCAAGAAAUCGAUGCUUUUUUCACUGCCUACCCUAGUGUGCUCCACUGCCUCACAAAGCUCUUUAUACAAAAUGCAGACUUUGAUAAAUUGGACAUGCACCAUAUCCUAUUUGACUGCUGCAAGCAACUGAAGCAUCUAGUCCUUUAUAAUUGUGAUACUGGUUCCCACUCCCACUUUAAGAUUGAUGCACCAAACUCAAAACUCCGUGCUCUUGAAAUCCACAAGUGUCGCUUUUUGAAAAUUGACUUGGUCUGCCUUCCCAAAUUGGAGAAGUUUGUGUGGAAUACUUGGAUAUGUCAGUAUGCCCCGGUGACCUUUGGUUUUGUCCCAUCUCUUGUGGAAUUAGAACUCUUAUGUGGUUCAAGUGACAAUAAACGUGAAUUUAGAUUAAGUGAGCUUCUACAUGGAAUAACAGGCAUACAUACUCUCACAUUGGAUUUCCAAGGAGAAAACGUAAGUACUAUUUUAUUUUUGCUAAAUUCUUUGCAACCAAAGUUGUACCAUGGAUGUUGUAUGAUAAGACAACAAACAUAGCUGUAAAUUAUCUGAUGAUCUCACUUUUAUGCUUGCAAACUAUUUAUCCUUCUUUUGUUUCUUUAUUGAUUUGAUCCUGUUAUCAGCUUUGGUUGCAACCUGAAAUGAUCCUGUUAUCAGCUUUGGUUGCAACCUGAAAUGGAGGAACUCCGCACCACAUUCAGCAAGCUAAGGAAGCUGUCUGUACGUGGUAUCUUUGUUGAAUUUGACAUUUUAUGGACAAUGGCGUUUCUUGUAGCAGCACCAUCUGUCAAAAUGUUAAAUAUUGAGGUGAUGUUUCUUUCCUUGUCCACUUGUGGAUCUUUAUUUUUUUACAAAUUUUAGCGGAAAGUUGUUUAAAACUCGAUCUGAUGACACAUGUAAUGGAUUGGUCACAAAUACAGGUAUGGGAACAUGUAUGUGAUGUGGGCGAGGAAGGACACGAUUCCCCCUGACAGAAGGACUCCUCAAUGGGAAAUGCGCUUGGAGCCUUGGACAGCAGCUUUGAGAACAGGCUUCUGAAAGAGUUAGACUUCGCUGGAUUUAAAUCACUAGAACAACAGUUUAUAUAUAUAUAAGAUCCAUGUUGGAGCGAUCUCCCAAUUUGCAGAAGAUAGUUCUGAGAGGAGACGAGGAAUGCGAUUACUGCAACGCCCUUAAGGCAUCAUCGCCCCGUCCUUCGAAAUUUCCAAAGAAAAAAGAUGAGCAAGAAAUGGUGGUUAAGCUGAUUAAAGAUGACGUCUUCUGCCCAGAGAUAAUUUUUGACGAAUUCUGUCCAUCUUUGAGAAUGUGAUUUGUGUGUGUUUCAAACUUUUUGUGUUGGUAUUCAAAAAAAAUGUUUACAUUCUCUUAUGUAUGUGGUAUAAUUUCUGUGUGUUUUCAUAGUAAAAAUUUUAGCAUAAAAUUUGAGGAGAGAGUAGCAGCUGGUGGCAUGCAGUUGUGCUAACGAGAGAUGAAUAAAAGUGCAGAAGUUGAUUCGGUUGCUGGUUUAUUUGAUUGGUUACUGUUCAACUGGUCUCUACUUUGGAUAACAAAAACUCUCUUGAUUUAGUUGGUUCAUUUCUCAGUAGAAAAAUUACUCUGAAAUUUAUCCGUGUUUUGUUGGAUCACGAGGAAUGCCUCCAUCCAGCCAUUGCCUUGCACAUUUCCUCAUUCAAAAAGAAGCACACAUUUCUAAUGUGAACAACCCAUGAAUGCAAACCAUUUCCUCAUUCAAAAAGCAGUAAAAAUUCCUAUUAAGAACAGCCAAUGAAUCAUCUUUCCUCGUUCAAAAAGUAGUAAAAAAUCCUAAUAAGAACAGCCAAUGAAUCAUUUCCUCAUUCAAAAAGUAGUACACAUUUCUAAUAAGAACAGCCAAUGAAUGCAAAUUAUCCUGACGAUCAGAAGUAAUAUGUUCUCAUCCAUUGAAUGCUUUCAAGAGGUGUAGGCCAAACAAAUACGACAAUUAUUAAACAGUACGUACGACAAGUAUUCAACAAUAUAUACGUUACAACUGGAUAUCAGUCAGUUAGACAAACACAGGAACAUUCAGAGAAACGGAUCGAGCACUUGUAAUGCAAGAAUAUCAUAUAUAGUUCACUAACAAAACAAAUGAAUCCAGGUUUUGAUUGGUCCUUCAGAUGACAAGAUACAAAACGCAACAAAGAGACAAAUGCGCGAGAAAUGGCGCCUACGAAUAGUGUAAGAAAAAACAGGUGCCUACGAACAGUCAUUUAUGCAAGAGAUAACGCAGCUACAUACACCUGCCUUCGCUGCACCAACGUCGCAUCUCCAUACAACAUUUCUUUCCCCAUACUUUCAUUUGGGUACUACUUAUGUUUAUGAGAUUGUAAACUGAACAUAUAAAAUGAUUCCUAAAAGCCAUGAACAUACUUUCAUGGGCAGGAUAUCUCCAACAAGAUUUAUGCGGACAUGGGCAACAACUGCACACUACAGACGCAACCCAAAAUGCACUAACAUAUAAUAAAAAUCCCUAGAGAGUAGAGACACAAUCACAUUGGCAGUGGUGUAUUUGUUCAUGUGCUAGCUCUACGUACCAGGAAAAGCACAAGCAGCCUGAUAGCUAGAGAUGACAGAAUAUAGAAGAUCAGGAUAUAUAUAUAACAAGCAAAGGCUUCCACGGUCCAAUUCCAAGUCCAAAAUGUGGCCAUAUUUGCAGAAAUUGAAGAGCGCAGAUGGUUAAAACAAAGCAGCUGCAUUGUGAACCACGGUUCAGUUUACCAAGCUGCCAACAUUCGAACAGAUCUACAGAUAUACUAGGAGCAAUCAAGCUUACGGAGCUUCAAUCAACAGUUCACACAACUAGUACUAUGCGAAAUCUAGAGAAACACAUUUAACUACUCCAGCAAUUAAACCGAACAGAGAGAGGUAAACCCAUGAGAUGAUCUGCCGGUUUCACUCCUGUGUUAGGUUGAUCUCUAUCCCGUUCGAACCCAACGGGUCGAACGGGCCCUUGACUCGCGCCCUGAUCGGGGGCGCCCAACCAAACCAUGGUUGGUGGGCCCAUGUGACCCGCGCUAUAUAAACAGAGGUGGGGGACGGGGCACGACUUACGAGGUUAAUCGCUGCCACAAACCCCACCGACAAUCCCUUCCGAUCUAGGGUUAGCGCAGCGCUCACGGGAAGCUCCACCACCGCCGCCAUCUCUCUGCCAUCACCGGCCCCUACUUCACCAUGGCCGGCGCUGGAUCGAGUUCGUCUGCACCAGCAGAAGGUAGGUGUACCGAAAAGAUCUAGCCUACACGAUCCAAGUGGGUCUAUCAAUGGUAUCAGGCCAUCUUGGUUAGAUGAUUUUCGGUAAAAAGAUAAAACAGAGAAAGAAAAAGAGAUCCCCUCCCCAAGAACCCUAAUCAGAGGGCAAAGGAAAGUUCACCGGCAGAGGGCCUCGGGCCUCGCCGGCAAAGUGCGCCGCCACUUCGGCCGCGCCGUUCCUCUCGAUCCCCACACGCAUCGGCAAGCGGAGGUGCGGGGAAGAAGAACACGGCCUCCCAAGGGGGCAAAAGGGCACCACCACCGCACUGCUUGACGGCGGCGUGCUCUCCUUCUGGAGCUCGCGCGCACCGGCAAGGGGGGCGGGGGAGGCGCCGUUGUAUCUCUCGCACAGAGGCGCAGAGCAGGGCUCUGUUGGCGUCUCUGAUCUCUCUCUCUCUCUCUCUCUCUCACUGGUUUCGGUGAAUAGAGGGAGGAAGGAAACAGAAGUGGGGAAAGGAAAGGAGCUCGCGUGUCACGGCGGUUCGUCGCCGGCGGCCGGCAAGGCCCGAAAUCUUGCUGCGGGACAGAGACGGCGCGGGGGGAAAGAGCGGGAGCAGCUAGGCCUCGUUCUCCCUGCCGCAGUAGGUGGAAAGGAUGGGAAGGAGAGGCUCGCGCGGCGCGGUGGCAUCCAUCGCCGGCGCCGGCGGCCGGAGCGCAGCAGUUCUUCUCUGCCUCGCCGCUGAGAGAAAAAGGAAUGAGCGAGGGGGAGGGGGAAUGCACUAGGGUUUGCCCGAGCGGCGCGGCUGGAUCGGUUUUGACCGGGCGAGAUCGCCGCUAGAUCGUUGGAUCGCGUUCGACGGUCGCGAUCAAAACCCUAGCCCCAGCGGGCCUGUUGGUCCGAAAGAGGAGGCGCGAGCUGGGCCGAGGCCGCCAGUUGCGGGCGCCGCCGUGCGAGCUGGGCCGAGGCCGGCCGUGCAGCAGUUUCCCUUCUUUUUUGUUUUUUAAUAGUUCUAGUCCAGUUUCUGGGCAGAUUCUAAAUAGUUUUUCUAUGCAAUUUUUCCAACGAAAAAUGUGUUUAGAAAAUAAAAAAGAUAUACAAUUUUUCUUUCUGCAAAGAAAAAAAAGUAGAAAAGUUUCUGGAAAUAGAAAAGUAAAAUUUCAGAAAAAGAAAAGUUCAUGAAUUUUAUAAAGGACAUAAGAAAGUUCAUGAAUUUUGUUUUAGUAAAAUAAAAGUUUCUAUAAAAUGUAAAAAGUUCAUGAUUUUUUUAUUCAUGUUUUUCCGCUGUGUGAAUUUUCUAAUAGUGCUCUUUUACAAAGAAAAUAAAAGUUUAGAUAGAAUUAUGUUUUUAAGAGCAUGUUAAAGUGAUUAUUAGAAUGAAUAUGAUUAUGUUAUGUUUAUGACCAACGUUAUUAAUAACAUGAUCAUGUUUUAUUAUUGAAAUUUAAAGGUGCAUUUAUUUCUAAUUUUUGCCCAACGGUAAAAUAGAUUUAAUUGCAUAGACAAUUAUAUGUUUAAUUUGACCAACGUUAGAUUAAUGCAUAUGAUUGUUAUAUUGAUGUCACUUAAAUUGUGAUUUCAGAAGGCUUUCACUUGAUGAGUUGCCUAAAAGAAGUUCCGACACUCAGAGGUGACAAUCACACUGAGUGGAGGAAGAAAGUUGAACUGGCAUUUGUCUGUGCUGAUCUGGACUGGGUUCUGGAUGAACCAUAGCCAGUCAGACCUACAGAGCCAGUAAGAGAGACCACUGAUGAUGAUGCUGCAUGCGCUAAAAAGAGGGGGGUUAUGCUCCUUUGGAGAUGUCCUACAUCAUAGAAAACCAAAAGUGGGUCAAUGCAAACAAAAAAUGCAUGGUCUUUAUAAAGAAUACAAUUGAGAGCAUCAUUAUGGGCUCCAUUGCAGAGUGCACUUCCGCAGGGGAGUAGCUCAAAAAGAUAAAAAAGCCAGUUCACUGGCUCUUCAAAGAUAUAUGCCACCCAGGUGUUAAAACAACUGGUGACACACUAGUAGAAAACGGGCCUAUUGUCCCGGUUCGUAAGGGUCUUUUGUCCCGGUUCCUGAACCGGGACUAAAGGGUCGUUACUAAUGCCCUGUCCCUUUAGUCCCGGUUCAGUCCAGAACCGGGACAGAUAGGCCUCCANNNNNNNNNNNNNNNNNNNNNNNNNNNNNNNNNNNNNNNNNNNNNNNNNNNNNNNNNNNNNNNNNNNNNNNNNNNNNNNNNNNNNNNNNNNNNNNNNNNNNNNNNNNNNNNNNNNNNNNNNNNNNNNNNNNNNNNNNNNNNNNNNNNNNNNNNNNNNNNNNNNNNNNNNNNNNNNNNNNNNNNNNNNNNNNNNNNNNNNNNNNNNNNNNNNNNNNGCUGUGCGCGGAGCCCAGGCAGGAGGGCCUUCUGUGGCUGGGUUUUUUUUUUGAAAGAGGGGGGGGGGGGUUUGGGGGUUUUGGGGGGGGUUAAUUUAGGUGUUUCAUAUAUUGUGUUAGCUAGUUAUAAUUAAUAGAGAGAAGUGUCCUCUCUUAUGUCCGUGCUUGGUCGACGCUACGUACUAUAUAUACGUAUAGAGAGGACUAGACAUGCUAGCUAACUAGUAAGCAAACGAAGGAAACAGAAGAUCAUCAUGAACAUAUAUGCAUACAGAGAGAAGUGAUAUCGACCACCUCUCCUUCUCCGAGAGAUUGUUCGAACAACAAGUUCUCGUAUAUCUAUCCGACACUAUCGGCUACAUAUAUACAAUAAUUAUCUCUCAAAUAUAAUCUCCUAACAUACGGACGCAUGGUCCACAUAGUAUUCUCGGUCUUCAGCGAUCACGUGUUUAAGAAAUAAUGCCGCCAAUUCCUCUUGAAUUACUCGCAUGCGAGCUAGUGCUAGGAGUUUAUCCCGCUUUCGAAACAUCUAAUUUGAAGAAGGGGGUCAAUACAUAUAUAUAUGAAUGAAUGAAACUCAACACAAAUGAUGGUAAUAAAAUAAAAUUGUGAAUGUUGUUAUUUACGCACUUCAUAUUGUUUGUCAGAGUAGCCCCGCUCACAGGUCGUGUGGUGGAUGGACUCGCAAACGUAGUAUUCACAGAAAUCAUUCCCUUGUUCCUGCCAGAACCACUUUACAAGAAAUAGAGGUCAAUCAAACUGAUAAGCAAGAAUGCCAAAUGGUAUUGAUGAAACUAGCGCUUGAAUCACUAGGAGAUGCGUGGAACAUGCUACUAUAGUGCUUACUUUCGGGUGUCUAAAUUGUAGCUUCUUCGGCAGUUCCGGAGCUUUUUUGGUGAAUUUUCUCCAAACCCUGCCAGACAAAGAAAACAAUUACUUGAUAUAUCAGGAAAUGAACAAACUUGCUGAUAUGAUGGAUAAUGAUCGAUUUAACUUACUUCUCGAGCAUUUGAGUCAUGUCCGCAUAGUCCUGGGGAUCUUUUCGUCUCGAGUCUAAGACGGUUACUAGUCCCUGCUCAAGCUUAAUCUCUAGGAGAAUAUAGUGGAAACUGCACACGCAUGCAUAACUCAUCAAUUACAUUACUAUAACCUUGACUAAUAUAUAAGGGAAACCGAAUAUGCACAAGACAGCAACACUCACUUGAAGUUGUAAGGAAAGAGUAUUAUAUCUUUGUUUUCAUUUAUUACCAAUGAUCAUAGCAAGUUGGCCUCGGUAUCUGCGACAUGAAAUUUAACCUCAGUUGCAUCUAUGAGAUUUGUGUUAAUGAACCCAAUAUCACCGAUUUGUCUUUUCUUCAAUUCAACGAUCUUCAAUCUGCAUAAUAUAGUGAGGAUAAUUAUAAAUACAUGCAAUGAAAGAGCUGAUCUAUAUAGAGAUACUUAAUGACAGAAGUAGUACAACUUACAGACAGUAGCAGGUGACCGUUGCUUUAUCGAGGGCCAAUUGAUUGAAAAACUGAAAGAACUCCUCAAAUGGAACAUGCAUGUAACGCCCUGAGACCGAUGUGCCAGGUGUCCUCUAGUUAUUCGCUGUUGUUGCCAUGUCAUUUCUUGCGUGUCAUGCAUUGCAUAUCAUGUCAUCAUGUGCAUUGCAUUUGCAUACGUGUUCGUCUCAUGCAUUCGAGCUUUUUCCCCGUUGUCCGUUUUGCAUUCCGGCGCUCCAUUCUCCUCCGGUGGUCAUUUCUACCUUUCUUUCAGGUGUGGGGAUUAAACAUUUCCAGAUUGGAUCGAGAUUUUCCAAGCGGCCUUGGUUUACCACCGGUAGACCGCCUGUCAAGUUUCGUAUCAUUUGGACUUCGUUUGAUACUCCAACGGUUAACCGAGGGACCGAAAAGGCCUCGUGUGUGUUGCAGCCCAACACCCCUCCAAUUUGGCCCAAAACCCACCUAACUCUCCUCCAUCAUCUAGAGCGUUCGAUCAUGAUCGCGUGGCCAAAAACUGCACCUCAUUUGGACUCUCCUAACUCCCUCUACCUAUAUAUAUGUGCAACCCUCCCGAAAUUCGUGGAUGAACCCUAGCCUUCGUCCUCCUCGCGCCACCGGACACUUUUCCACCGCGCCGGACAUAUCCGCCGCCCCCCAGCCACCUCACUCCGACCAACCCCGGCGUGCCACGUCAGCCCCGCCGCCCUCACCAGCCUAUCCGGCUUCGCCACCUCACACCGCGCCUGCGCCCUCUCUCUCCAGCCAGCCGCGGCCCGGAUCUGGCCCUCCGGGCUCGAUCCGCCUGCGAGCCCCCGCGCCCCGCCGCCUGUACGGCCCGCCGCCUCNNNNNNNNNNNNNNNNNNNNNNNNNNNNNNNNNNNNNNNNNNNNNNNNNNNNNNNNNNNNNNNNNNNNNNNNNNNNNNNNNNNNNNNNNNNNNNNNNNNNNNNNNNNNNNNNNNNNNNNNNNNNNNNNNNNNNNNNNNNNNNNNNNNNNNNNNNNNNNNNNNNNNNNNNNNNNNNNNNNNNNNNNNNNNNNNNNNNNNNNNNNNNNNNNNNNNNNNNNNNNNNNNNNNNNNNNNNNNNNNNNNNNNNNNNNNNNNNNNNNNNNNNNNNNNNNNNNNNNNNNNNNNNNNNNNNNNNNNNNNNNNNNNNNNNNNNNNNNNNNNNNNNNNNNNNNNNNNNNNNNNNNNNNNNNNNNNNNNNNNNNNNNNNNNNNNNNNNNNNNNNNNNNNNNNNNNNNNNNNNNNNNNNNNNNNNNNNNNNNNNNNNNNNNNNNNNNUCCACCACUGCCAAGGGCGCGCCGCGCCGCCAUGCUCCGGCCCCGGCCGCCGCCAUGCCCCGCGGGUGCUCCGCCCCCUCGCCGGAAUCGCCGCGCCGCUCGCCGAAGUCCGUCCCGGCCAGAUCCGCCCCGCCUGGAGGAGAUCCAUCGGGAGUCCAACCAAACACACCCGUCUCGGAUCCGCACCGCUCCGUCCCGGAACCGCUCCGUCCCGCGUUGACUUUUCGCGGAGGUAAAAUUCGUCUAAGUCCCCAAAUCACAAAUCCAUGUGCCCAUGUUCAUCGUGCCGUAAUUUUGCAUCCGUAGCUCCGAUUCAUGCAUAUAGCAUAUCAAAAUGUUCAUCUCAGAGAGUACAUCAUUUCAUUCCAUUGCAUCAUUUUCAUUUGAGCUCAUCUUGAUGCCCGAAAUGCUGUUAGAAGAGGGCUACUUGAGUUAAUUGUCAGAUCUGCUACCCCGUUUAGCACUUUUGUCAUUUUUGCCAUGAUUAUUGUGUGCAUGAUAUGUCCGUGAGUUCUAUAUAUGUUUUGUUAAGGGUUUUGUCAUCUUUCCAGAGGUGCAACCCAUGUAUUUUUGUGAUGUGUGUGGUGUCUAGUGCAAGCUUGCAAAGUGGUGCACUUGCUAAUUCUGUUUUCAGGGACUUAGUAAUUUCACUAAGUGCUGGAGUUGUUUAUCUCAUGAUGCCAUAUGUCCAUGUUGUUUCCUAGUGAUCCGUGCCUCUUUUGAGGAUGAUCAGUAAGGAUGAUUUGUUAAUCUUGUAGUGCUCUAUCCAUCCAUGUCUUUGUUUGCAAUUAUGGAGCACCCUAGCUUGAGUCAAUCGAGCUCUACUUUUGUUACUUUGUGAAUCUAGGCAGAUUGUCAACUUGUUUGCAAUUUUGCCGAUGAUGUUGUAGUUGAUCUGUGCAUGCUAUGCUAUUGUUCUUGCCAUGUAUAGCUUGCUUUUUGUGCCUUCUUGAUGGGUGUAUGCUUGUCUUGCCAUGACUUGCACCGUAGUGAGUGCAUCGAGCUCGUAAACAUGCCUACUUGAGUUAUAUUUCAACAUGUGUCAGUUUUUCACUAAGUCUGAAAACUAAUUAUGUUUUUGCUAUGUUCACAUGCUUGCAAUUGUAUUUUCUGAUCCCUUUUGGCUCAAGGUCACUAAAGUUCUUUGAGUAGCUCCAUGCCAUGCUUUACUUUGCCAUGUUCCGGUCCUGUAGCAUGUAGUUUUGUUGCUCCGAAGAGUGCAACCUGAUCUGAAAUUCCAGACAAGUGUUAAUUUCACUAAGUCUGAGAUCUGUUUGUCAUAUGCAUUUUUGCCAUGCUUGUUUGAACCUGUUAAUGGAUGAUUUGGCCGUAGCUCAGUGCUAGACUUUUGUUAAGCAUCUUGUAUGCAUCCCUGCCAUGUAUUUUGUUGUCAUGUUUGGGUGCUGUAGCAUGUUCAUCUAAUUGCAUUUAGAUGGCUACUUGCUGUAAAUCGGAGACCGGUGUCAUUUUUGAAUCGCUUGCCAUUUCCAAACCGUAACUCCGAUUCCGGCGUUCUUUAUAUCGUUUUCAAGCGAUUUCAUCUCAUCUUUCCAGUGGCACACUUGGAUUUCCAAGUUGAGGCCAGGUUCUUUCAUCUCUUAUCAAAUCAUGCAUAUGCAUCGCAUACCUCAUCCCGCAUAUCAUAUCAUGUUCAUGUGUUGGUUGUUUACUAUGUUGUGUGCUUCUUUUCCGGUGUUGCUUCUUCGGGUUGGUUCCGAUAACGUCGUGUUGUGAGGAUUCGUUCGACUACGUCCGUUUGUCUUCGUCAUGGACGCGUUCUUCUUCCUUGCGGGAUUUCAGGCAAGAUGAUCAUACCCUCGAAAUCACUUCUAUCUUUGCUUGCUUAGUUGCUCGCUCUUUUGCUAUGCCUAUGCUGCGAUACCCACCACUUGCUUAUCAUGCCUCCCAUAUUGUCGAACCAAGCCUCUAACACACCUUGUCCUAGCAAACCAUUGAUUGGCUAUGUUACCGCUUCGCUCAGCCCCUCUUAUAGCGUUGUUAGUUGCAGGUGAAGAUUGAAGUUUGUUCCUUGUUGGAACGUGGAGAUGUCGUUCUUUGUUGGACCAUGUUUACUUGUUGGGAUAUCACUAUAUAUCUUAUUUAAUUAAUGCAUAUAUAUACUUGGUAAAGGGUGGAAGGCUCGGCCUUAUGCCUGGUGUUUUGUUCCACUCUUGCCGCCCUAGUUUCCGUCAUAUCGGUGUUAUGUUCCCGGAUUUUGCGUCCCUUAUGCGGUUGGGCUAUUAUGGGAACCCCUUGACAGUUCGCCUUAAGUAAAGCUCUUCCAGCAAUGCCCAACAUUGGUUUUACCAUUCGCCACCUAGCCUUUUUCUUUCCCUUGGGUCGGCCAGCCCAAGGGUCAUCUUUAUUUUACCCCCCCCCCCCGGGCCAGUGCUCCUCUGAGUGUUGGUCCAACUGAGCGAUGUCCGAGGCUACCAGGGGCAACUCUGGGCUGGCUUACCCGACGUCUGGCUCAUCUGAGUGUGCCCUGAGAAAGAGAUAUGUGCAGCUCCUAUCGGGAUUUGUCGGCACAUUCGGGCGGUGUUGCUGGUUUAGUUUUACCCUGUCGAAAUGUCUUGUUGUAUCGGGAUACCGAGUCUGGUCGGAGGGUCUCGGGUGGAGGUCUAUUCCUUCGUUGACCGUGAGAGCUUGUGAUGGGCUAAGUUGGGACACCCCUACAGGGAUUUGAACUUUCGAAAGUCGUGCCCGCGGUUAUGGGAAAAUGGGAAUUUGUUAAUGUCCGGUUGUAGAAAACCUGAACUUGACCUUAAUUAAAAUGCAUCAACCGCGUGUGUAACCGUGAUGGUCUCUUUCCGGUGGGGGCCGGGAAGUGAACACGGUUGUUGGAGUUAUGCUUGACGUAGGUUGUUCUAGGAUCACUUCUUGAUCAUAGAUUCUCGACCGUGCUUUGCUUUCUCUUCUCGCUCUCUUUUGCGUAUGUUAGCCACCAUAUAUGCUAGUCGCUUGCUGCAGCUCCACCUCAUACCUUACCUUACCCAUAAGCUUAAAUAGUCUUGAUCGCGAGGGUGCGAGAUUGCUGAGUCCCCGUGGCUCACAGAUACUUCCAAAACCAGCUUGCAGGUGCCGAUGAGACCGUGCAGUUGACGCAACCAAGCUCAGGAGGAGCUCGAUGAAGAUCUUGUCCUUUGUGUUGUUCCGUUCUAGUUGAUCAGUAGUGGAGCCCAGUUGGGAUCGAUCGGGGACCUUUGUCGCAUUUGGGGUUCUUCUUUUAUUUUGGUUUCGUAGUCGGACCUUGAUUGUAUUUGGAUGAUGUAAUGCUUUAUUCAUGUAAUUGUGUGAAGUGGCGAUUGUAAGCCAACUAUGUAUCUUCUUCCUCUAUUGUAUUACAUGAGUUUGUGUGAAGAUUACCUCACUUGCGACAUUGCUUUCAAUGCGGUUAUGCCUCUAAGUCGUGCUUCGACACGUGGGAGAUAUAGCCGCAUCGAGGGAGUUACAAGGCAACAGUUCAAUUCCAAUGAGGUCAUGCUCCUUUUUAACUCUCACAUACAAAGUAUUCCUCCCCCCAGACUCUCUGCAGAUUUUCAAGUACCAAUCAUGCAAUCUUCGCAUCAUCGUUGAUAUAGAUCUUUCAUCUUUGACGAGAGGCUUCCCGUACUCGUAUCUUUGUAUCUGCACCUCCAAGAAAUCAUAAUGUACAUCGUCGGGCAGGUAAUCUCCAAGAUUGCUAUAACCGGGCACCAUCCUCGGAUCAUUAGCGACGAUGUCGCUAGGCACCUUGAGCGGGGGGCACGAUUGCUUCGCUUGUUCGCCGAGCUGGGCAAUUUGUUUCCCAGCUUGUCGUUCUUUCAGCCUUUGAUCAUUGACAGUACUUCCCGACCGCUCCACUUCGGCAAAUGCCUUUCCAAUAAUGCGCUCAUAGUUGCCUUUCAGCGGAGACUUGGAUGGUUUUGUCAGGGCAGCCAGAGUGCGCUUCGCUUUCACCGGAUCUACCUUCUCCUCCGAAGGUGGAUGUUUCUUUGCUUUCACCCCUUCAAAGAAGUUCCUCACUUCUUCUCGCGCGAUCUCGGCGUUCUCCUCCGGGGUCCUCUCGUAUGGUAACUUCUCUGGAGUCUUCAGAGAAGGACCGAAUCUGUAUGUCCUCCCGCUUCUGGCUGUACUGCUAGACGCCGGCAGAGCAGACGGAGUGGCUGUCUUCUUUACUUGCUUACGAGGCGGAGGAGAAGGACUAUGACGCACCGGAGCAGCUGGAGCGGCGGCGGGUCUCUUCCGCCCUUGCUGACGAGGCGGAGAAGGAGGAGGCUGGCUGCUCAGGCGCGCCGGCGCAGGCGGAUAAGGAGGCGGAGUGCCGCCACGCGCCGGAGAAGGAGCCGGCUGAGUGCCCUGAUCGUCACUCGUCGGAGGAGGAUGUGGUGGAGGAGGAGGAGUGCCCUGACUCGCCGGAGGAGGAGGCGGAGGCAUCCAGUUCGGAAGGUUGAUGAGCUCCUUCCGCCAUAGGCAUGGAGUCUUCAGAGCAGAACCCAGCCGAGUCUCCCCUUCACCGGUAGGGUGGUCAAGCUGGAGGUCCUCAAAUCCCUCCAUUAUUUCAUCCACCAUCACCCUAGAAUAUCCUUCUGGAAUCGGCCGACAGUGAAAAGUUGCGUCGGGUUCAGUAGGAAAAACAGAGCCAAGUGCCGCCUUGACCUUCAUAUUAAUCCAUUGCGUCAUAAGGUGGCAAUUUUGAGACUACGUGAUAGCAUCGAUGGGAUAGCUGCCAGGAGCCGUCAAGACAUGCUCCGGCUGAAGCAGGUCGGUGGAAGCCACGCUGCUUCUCCGCUGAGAUGGCGGGGUAGCUUUGGAGGAAGCUUCGGCAGUUCGUUUGCUGCGAUUUGCUUCUCGUUCCUCUAUCGCUUGUACCCUAGCGUGCAGCGCCUGCAGUUGGGUCUGCUCCACUUUCUUCCUCCUCUCGUGGCAUUUGUAACCGCCUGUGUCCGGAAACCCAGCCUGCCACGGAAUGGAUCCUGGCGUGCCUCGUGUCCGUCCAGGGUGCUCAGGAUUCCCGAGGGCCAUUGUGAGCACGUCACUUGUGGGACGUGGAUGUAGUGUCCGACACCGACGGCCACAUGUAUCUCACACCGACGAUACUUGCUAUUUAGGGUUUCCUCUACCGCUCGGCGACCCUCGACGACCCUCGUUCCCGAUAAAAAAAAGAGGAAGAAGGAAAAAAAAGAGGAGAAGAAAGAAUAGAGGACUCCUCGACCCCUCUAUUCUUUCUUCUCCUCUUUUCUUUCUUCUCCUCUUUUUUUCUUCUUUCUCUUCUUUUUUUAUCCUCUUCUUCCUCUCAUGUUCGACGACCCUCGACCCCUCGGUGACCCUAGACCCCCUCUCGACCCUCGACCCCUCGGCGACCGUCGACCCCCUCUCGACCCUCGACCCCCUCUCGACCCCUUGACGAUCCUAGAACUUUUUUUCUCCCCGAUAACAUUUUUUUCUCCGAGAGAGUUCAUAUGAAUAUACAAACAUUUGCAUAUUUACAAUAAUCAAUAUCACCAAAAAAAUCUAUGAACAGAAAAAAUACUAUUUUUUCUAAAAAUCUAUCUUUUGCAUAUNNNNNNNNNNNNNNNNNNNNNNNNNNNNNNNNNNNNNNNNNNNNNNNNNNNNNNNNNNNNNNNNNNNNNNNNNNNNNNNNNNNNNNNNNNNNNNNNNNNNNNNNNNNNNNNNNNNNNNNNNNNNNNNNNNNNNNNNNNNNNNNNNNNNNNNNNNNNNNNNNNNNNNNNNNNNNNNNNNNNNNNNNNNNNNNNNNNNNNNNNNNNNNNNNNNNNNNNNNNNNNNNNNNNNNNNNNNNNNNNNNNNNNNNNNNNNNNNNNNNNNNNNNNNNNNNNNNNNNNNNNNNNNNNNNNNNNNNNNNNNNNNNNNNNNNNNNNNNNNNNNNNNNNNNNNNNNNNNNNNNNNNNNNNNNNNNNNNNNNNNNNNNNNNNNNNNNNNNNNNNNNNNNNNNNNNNNNNNNNNNNNNNNNNNNNNNNNNNNNNNNNNNNNNNNNNNNNNNNNNNNNNNNNNNNNNNNNNNNNNNNNNNNNNNNNNNNNNNNNNNNNNNNNNNNNNNNNNNNNNNNNNNNNNNNNNNNNNNCCCUUUAGUCCCGUUGGUGCCACCAACCGGGACCAAUGGCCUUGCGCUAGCGCGGUGGUGGGAGUUUAGUCCCACCUCGCUUGUUGAGAGCGGCCAACACCUGUUUAUAAGCUCCGCUGCCUCUUCCCUCUCGAACUCCUCUGAACUGCAGGCCUAUGGGCCUAAUUUGAUACCUCUCUGCUUGUGGGCCUAUUGGGUCUUCUGCGGGCCUGAAUCCUGGCCAAGGUUGGGUUUCUAGUCGUAUUCAGGCCGUGGUGGCCCAAUAGGUGAUAGUUUAUUUCUUUGUUGCUUUAUUUAUUUUAUUUUGUUUCUACUUACAAAAAAAUACUUAUUGUUGCUAUUUUUUCUAGUUUUUUUGUUUUGUUUUCUGCAUUAUUUAUUUUCUUUUGUGUUUUGCUUUAUUUUUUAAUUAUUUUUGCUUUUAGUUUUAAAAAAACUAUAAACUUUUUGUUAGUGCCAUUAGUUUUCAAAUUUGAAAACAUUUUUUUUGUUUUUUUGUUUUCUUUAUUGCUUUAUUUAUUUUAUUUUGUUUCUACUUACAACAAAAUACUUAUUGUUGCUAUUUUUGUUUUUUUUCCAGUUUUUUGUUUUGUUUUCUGCAUUAUUAUUUUUUUGUAUUUUGCUUUAUUUUUUAAUUCUUUAUGCUCGUAGGUCAACAAAAUUAUAAACUUUCUGUUAGUGCUAUUAGUUUUAGAAAAAUUAUAAACUUUCUGUUAGUGUCAUUAGUUUUUAAAUUUGAAUAGUUAAAAUUUGAAUUCUUUGAAAUUUGUGUGAAUCACAAGUUUGUGAUUAAGGGUGUGUUUGGUUCCAGUCACGAGCUGGAACGGCAUGGGUCAGACCUGCCCCAGGGCCUCGUUCGUGCGUUUGGUUCGUAAAUGGAGGGGAACCGAGUCGUGCCCAGUGAGCGCAUAUUCUGCCAAUAUCCGGAACGUGUUGAGACCUCCAAAUCGGAGGAACCACGCGGAACCGGUCGUCGCUCUUUCCUCUCCUCCCCGAAACCCAAUCGAGUCCUCUCUUAGAGCAACCACCUCCCACUCAUCUCUUCCUCACCCGAUGUGCGCUGUCGGCGAACUCCUGUCGAUCUGCGCCGCCGGCAACUCGUCUCCUCCCCGAAACCCAAUCGAAUCAUCUCUCAGAGCCGCCUCCCACUUGUCUCUCCCUCACCCAAUGUGCGCCACCGGCGACCUCCUCUCGAUCCGCGCCGCCGGCGACUCGUCUCUUCCUCUCUCAUGCGGCGGAUUGAGCGGCUGGGUGGUGGCAGUUUUGCAACGGGAGCGUCGGCGGGCUAGGUGCUAAUAGCAGCAGCACCGUUUCCUCUGAUAUGACCUUCGUUCCUCUCCCUUGUACAUGUUGCAGCUUCUCCCCAUUUUUCCUGUUCAGCCGAGAGAGAGAGACAGAGAUAUGUUUUGUUCGUUGUUGUUAGCACGAGACAGAGACACAGGGAUAUUGAGAUAUGUGAUGUUCGUUGCUCUCCUCACUUUUCUGGUUAAAGUUUCUUUCUGUAUGCUAUUCGAUUAAAGUUUCUUGCUGUAUGUCAUUCUUGUCAAUAUAUAUUGUUUUUGUUGUCUGUCUUGAAAAUGCAAAUGAAAUGCUAUCAUAAUUUCGAAUUUUAAGUCGUUUCAUUUUUCAUUCCAUCUCUCUAACCAAACACCGCAACGGAACCAACCCAUUCUACUUUUUUGCUGCUACCAAACACAGGAAUGGAACCAACCCGUUCCUCUGGAAUGGAACCGUUCAAUUCCAUGACACUUUGUUCCACAAGCAAACACACCAUAACUUUACUAAAAAAAUGAACAUAGAUGCACCUAUAGAGAAAUUUCGACCUAAAUUCAUAAUCAAUUUCUAUGAAUUUCAGAGAAAUUCAUUAUGAUUUUAGGUCAAAUUCCCUGUAUAGGGGCAUCUGUUUUCACUUUGAGAGGAGCUCAACAAGGCAGAGAGGGACGGGCUUAUAAACCGGUGUGAGCGCCCUUCGGUUGGCAAGGUGGGACUAAACUCUGAGCACAACGAGGACCAACCCUUUAGUCCCGGUUUGUGGCACAAGCCGGGACUAAUGGUCAUGGGCCAGGGGCGAGCCCUAAUUUUUUUCUAGUUUUUUUGUUUUGUUUUCUGCAUUAUUUAUUUUCUUUUGUUCUUUGCUUUAUUGUUUAAUUAUUUUUUCUUUUAGUUUUACAAAAAUUAUAAACUUUCUGUUAGUGCCAUUAGUUUUCAAAUUUGAAAACACUUUUUUUGUUUUUUGUUUUCUUUGUUGCUUUAUUUAUUUUAUUUUGUUUCUACUUACAAAAGAAUACUUAUUGUUGCUAUUUUUAUUUUUUUUCAGUUUUUUUGUUUUGUUUUCUGUAUUAUUUAUUUUCUUUUGUUUUUUGCUUUAUUUUUUAAUACUUUUUGCUUUCAAGUCAGCAAAAUUAUAAACUUUCUGUUAGUGCCAUUAGUUUUAGAAAAAAAUUAUAAAUUUUUUUGUUAGUGUCAUUAGUUUUCAAAUUUGAAUAGUUAAAAUUUGAAUUCUUUAAAAUUUGUGUGAAUCACAAGUUUGUGAUUAACUUUACUAAAAAAAUGAACAUAGAUGUACUUAUAGAGAAAAUUCGACCUAAAUUCAUAGUUUUCAAAUGAACUCUGAAAAAGUUGGCAUAGCAUGUGCAUGUAUAAAACGGACAAUGGUAUCAUACUCGUGUGUUAUAAAGUUGGCAUGGUAUCAUCAUAAUAGUUACGGGAGAAAGUCUUCACUUUUUCUUCGCUUGUGUCAUUUGCUUAUUGCGCCAUAACAUGGAUAAUCUUCAUCGUUUAUCAGGAUGCUUGGGUCAGCCUUGACAUUGAAGGGAGGAAUUUCAUGAAACUUUUCAUAAUCUUCAGACAUGUCUGUCUUGCCCUCCACUCCCAGGAUGUCCCUUUUUCCUGAAAGAACUAUGUGGCGCUUUGGCUCAUCGUAUGAUGUAUUCGCUUUCUUAUCUUUUCUUUUUCUCGGUUUGGUAGACAUGUCCUUCACAUAGAUAACCUGUGCCACAUCAUUGGCUAGGACGAACGGUUCGUCAGUGUACCCAAGAUUUUUCAGAUCCACUGUUGUCAUUCCGUAUUGUGGGUCUACCUAUACCCCGCCUCCUGACAGAUUGACCCAUUUGCACUUAAACAAAGGGACCUUAAAAUCAUGUCCGUAGUCAAGUUCCCAUAUGUCCACUAUGUAACCAUAAUAUGUGUCCUUUCCCCUCUCGGUUGCUGCAUCAAAGAGAACACCGCUGUUUUGGUUGGUGCUCUUUUGAUCUUGGUCAAUCGUGUAAAAUGUAUUCCCAUUUAUCUUGUAUCCUUUGUAAAUCAAUAUAGUCAAAGAUGGUCCCCUGGACAACAAGUACAACUCAUCACAAACAAUGUUGUCACCUCUAAGACAUGCUUCCAACCAACUGUUGAAAGUCCUGAUGUGUUCACAUGUAAUCCAGUCGUCGCACUGCUUUGGGUGUUUGGAGCGCAGACUAUUUUUGUGUUCAUCGACAUACGGGGUCGCCAAGGUAGAGUUCUGUAGAACUGUGUAGUGUGCUUGAAACCAAGAAUAUCCGUCCCUGCAUAUUAUUGAGUCACUUCCAAGAGUGUGUUUUCCAGUCAGUCUCCCCUCAUACCGCGAUUUAGGGAGACCUAUCUUCUUAAGGCCAGGAAUGAAGUCAACACAAAACCCGAUGACAUCCUCUGUUUUGAUGGCCCAUGGAGAUGCUUCCUUCUGGCCUAGCGCGGUUACGGACAUAUUUCUUUAGGACUCCCAUGAACCUCUCAAAGGGGAACAUAUUGUGUAGAAAUACGGACCCCAGAAUGACAAUCUCGUCGACUAGAUGAACUAGGACGUGCAUCAUGAUAUUAAAGAAGGAUGGUGGGAACACCAGCUCGAAACUGACAAGACAUUACGCCACAUCACUCUUUAGCCUUGGUACGAUUUCUGGAUCGAUCACCUUCUGAGAGAUUGCAUUGAGGAAUGCACAUAGCUUCACAAUGGCUAAUCGGACGUUUUCUGGUAGAAGCCCCCUCAAUGCAACCGGAAGCAGUUGCGUCAUAAUCACGUGGCAGUCAUGAGACUUUAGGUUCUGGAACUUUUUCUCUGGCAUAUUUAUUAUUCCCUUUAUAUUCGACGAGAAGCCAGUCGUGACCUUAAUACUGAGCAGGCAUUCAAAUAAGAUUUCUUUCUCUUCUUUCGUAAGAGCGUAGCUGGCAGGACCUUUAUACUGCUUCGGAGGCAUGCCGUCUUUUUCGUGCAAACGUUGCAGGUCCUCCCGUGCCUGAGGUGUAUCUUUUGUCUUCCCAUACACGCCCAAGAAGCCUAGCAGGUUCAUGCAAAGGUUCUUCGUCACGUGCAUCACGUCGAUUGAAAAGCGGACCUGUAGGUCUUUCCAGUAGGGUAGGUCCCAAAAUAUAGAUUUCUUCUUCCACAUGGGUGUGUGUCCCUCAGCGUCAUUCGGAAUAGCUAGUCCGCCGGGACCCUUUCCAAAGAUUACGUGUAAAUCAUUGACCAUAGCAAGUACGUGAUCACCGGUAUGCAUGGCGGGCUUCUUCCGAUGAUCUGCCUCGCCUUUGAAAUGCUUGCCUUUCUUUCGACAUUGAUGGUUGGUCGGAAGAAAUAGACGAUGGCCCAGGUACACAUUCUUCCUGCAUUUGUCCAGGUAUAUACUUUCAGUGUCAUCUAAACAGUGCGUGCAUGCGUGGUAUCCUUUGUUUGUCUGUCCUGAAAGGUUACUGAGAGCGGGCCAAUCAUUGAUGGUCACGAACAGCAAUGCCUUUAGGUUAAAUUCCUCCUGUUUGUGCUCAUCCCAUGUACGUACACCGUUUACAUUCCACAGCUGUAAAAGUUCUUCAACUAAUGGCCUUAGGUACACAUCAAUGUCGUUGCCGGGUUGCUUAGGGCCUUGGAUGAGAACUGGCAUCAUAAUGAACUUCCGCUUCAUGCACAUCCAAGGAGGAAGGUUAUACAUACAUAGAGUCACGGGCCAGGUGUUGUGAUUGCUGCUUUGCUCCUCGAAAGGAUUAAUGCCAUCCGCGCUUAAAGCAAACCAUACAUUCCUUGGGUCCUUUGCAAACUCAUCCCAGUACUUUCUCUCGAUUUUUCUCCACUGCGACCCGUCAGCGGGUGCUCUCAACUUUCCGUCUUUCUUACGAUCCUCACUGUGCCAUCACAUCAACUUGGCAUGCUCUCCGUUCCUGAACAGACGUUUCAACCGUGGUAUUAUAGGAGCAUACCACAUCACCUUCGCAGGAACCCUCUUCCUGGGGGGCUCGCCGUCAACAUCACCAGGGUCAUCUCGUCUGAUCUUAUACCGCAAUGCACCGGAUACCGGGCAUGCGUUCAGAUCCUUGUAUGCACCGCGGUAGAGGAUGCAGUCAUUAGGGCAUGCAUGUAUCUUCUCCACCUCCAAUCCUAGAGGGCAUACGACCUUCUUUGCUGCGUAUGUACUGUCGGGUAAUUCGUUAUCCUUUGGAAGCUUCUUCUUCAAUAUUUUCAGCAGCUUCUCAAAUCAUUUGUCAGGCACAUCAUUCUCUGCCUUCCACUGCAGCAAUUCCAGUACGGUACCGAGCUUUGUGUUGCCAUCUUCGCAAUUGGGGUACAAUCCUUUUUUGUGAUCCUCUAACAUGCGAUCAAAAUUCAGCUUCUCCUUUUGACUUUCGCAUUGCGUCCUUGCAUCGACAAUGACCCGGCGGAGAUCAACAUCAUCGGGCACAUCGUCUGGUUCCUCUUGGUCUUCAGCAGCUUCACCCGUUGUAGCAUCAUUGGGCACAUCGUCUGGUUCCUCUUGAUCUUCACCAGCUCCCCCCGUUGCAGCAUCACCGUAUUCAGGGGGCACAUAGUUGUCAUCGUACUCUUCUUCUUCACCGUCUUCCAUCAUAAUCCCUAUUUUUCCGUGCCUCGUCCAAACAUUAUAGUGUGGCAUGAAACCCUUGUAAAGCAGGUGGGAGUGAAGGAUUUUCCGGUUAGAGAAAGACCUCGUAUUCCCACAUUCAGUGCAUGGACAACACAUAAAACCAUUCUGCUUGUUUGCCUCAGCCCCAUCGAGAAACUCAUGCACGCCCUUAAUGUACUCGAAGGUGUGUCUGUCACUGUACAUCCAUUGUCGGUUCAUUUGCGUGCAUUAUAUAUAAUUAAGUGUCCAAAUUAAUAGAAGUUCAUCAUCACAUUAAAAGCAAAGUACAUACAUAGUUCUCAUCUAACAACAUAUAGCUCUCCAGAGUAUCUAAUUAAUUAAACCAUACAUUGAAACUAUGUAAAACAUUUCAAUGCGAAAAAAAUGCGAUCAUAAUCGCAACCAAGGUAACAAUUGAUCCAACGGCAUAAUGAUACCAAGCCUCGGUAUGAAUGACAUAUUUUCUAAUCUUUCUAAUCUUCAAGCGCGUUGCAUCCAUCUUGAUCUUGUGAUCAUCGACGCCAUCCGCAACAUGCAACUCCAAUAUCAUCUUCUCCUCCUCAAUUUUUUUAUUUUUUCCUUCAAGAAAUUGUUUUCUUCUUCAAUUAAAUUUAACCUCUCGACAAUAGGGUCGGUUGGAAUUUCUGGUUCACAUACAUCCUAGAUAAAUAAAAUCUAUGUCACGUUGGUCGGCAUAAUUUUCAUAAACAAUAAAUGAACCAAUAGUUAUAAAGAUAAUAUAUAUACCACAUCCGAAUCAUAGACGGGACGAGGGCCGACGGGGGCGGAUACCAAAACCAUCGCACUAUAUAAGAUGAAAUAAUAAAAGUAAGAAAAUAAUACAAGUAUCUGUGUAAACAUACAAGUAAGAAUAUUUUUUCCUUUCAGAAAGAAGAUAAGAACAAGAGGCUCACCACGGUGGUGCCGGCGAUGAGCUCGGCGCGGGUGAUCGACGGCGGUGAAGACGGGGACAGGGCGUGACGGACCGCUAAACCUUGACAAAUAUUGAGGAAAAUGGAGCUUGGAGAGGAGAAAGCUUAAGUAGUGUGGCUCGGGCAUUCCAUCGAACACCUUGUGUGCCUAGGAGGUGAGCUAGAGCACCACCAAACCCUCUCCCCCUCGGCCAGAAAAAACAGAGCAGUGUGCUCUGCUCUUACGCGAGGGGGUAUAUAUAGGCACCUCAUUGGUCCCGGUUGGUGGCAUGAACCGGGACUAAAGAGGAGCAUUUGGUCCCGGUUCAAGCCACCAACCGGGACCAAUGGUGGUGGGCCAGGAGCGAGGCCAAUUGGUCCCGGUUCGUCCCACCAACCGAGACCAAAAGGUCCAGACAAACCGGGACCAAUGGGCCACGUGGCCCGGCCGGCCCCCUGGGCUCACGAACCGGGUCCAAUGCCCCCAUUGGUCCCGGUUCUGGACUGAACCGGGACUAAUGGGCUGACCCGGCCUGGACCUUUGCCCCCUUUUCUACUAGUGAUAGAACAAUACACAGGUGGUGGAAUAAGAGAGCACAUCCUCAGGAUGAGCAAUAUGGCAGCAAAGUUAAAGCCCAUGGAUGAGGAUCUGGAGAUCAAACCAAAGCUCUUGGUCCACCUGGUCAUGGCUUCACUGCCAAAGGAGUUUGAAACUUUUGUUGUGAACUACAAUAUGUCAUCUGGAACAUGGGACAUUGAAAAGACAAUAGCGAUGUGUGUCCAAGAAGAGGACAGACUAAAAGCCUCACAUGGUGGUACACUCAACUAUGUGAAGGAUCACAAGAAAAAGAACUACAAUCAAAACAACAAAAGUUCUCCUUCAAAGCCACAAGGAAAAGCUCCCUAUCAGCAUCAGCGUCAGCAACAACCUUUCCCAGUGGACAAAGACACCUGUCUCCACUGUAAGCAGACCGGGCAUUACAAGAAAGACUGCCCUGUUUGGCUGAAGUCCUUAAUGGCAAAGCAAGGUAACAACAUUGUUUCCUUAGUUAAUGAAUCCUUGUACACACAGUUUUCGAAAUCUACUUGGUGGAUUGACUCAGGGGCAACUGUUCAUGUUGCAAAUUGUUUAAAGGGAUUCCAUUCGACCCAGACUACGCUAAGAAGAGAAGGAGGCAUUGAAGUAGCCAAUGGAAUUAAAGCGGAAGUUGAAGCUGUCGACGACAUCUCCUUGGAGUUAGCUGAUGGAUUCAAGCUUCUACUUAGAGAUGUUCUUUAUGUUCCUUCAUGUAAUAGAAACUUAAUUAGUGUUUCAUGUUUGGACAAAGAAAAUUAUGACUGUUAUUUUGGACAUGGCAAGUGUGCCAUAUGGUAUAAUAAUGCUUAUGUGGGUAAUGCUUUACUACAUGAUGAGCUUUAUUUGUUAUCACUUCGUGAAAAAGUGCAUUCUGUAUGCAAUGUGAAUGAACAUGUUUCCGCGUCGAAUAAAGAACAAAAGAAAAGAAAGAGAACAUUUGACUCAUCGAAAUUAUGGCACUGUCGCUUAGGCCAUAUUUCGAAGGGGAGAAUAGAAAGAUUAGUCAAAAGUGAAAUUCUUCCACAGUUAGAAUUCUUAGACUUAGAACAAUGUGUAGAUUGCAUUAAAGGAAAGUAUAUAAAACAAAUCAAAAAAGGUGCAAUCCAUAGCACAAGCACACUAGAAAUCAUCCACACUGACAUUUGUGGACCAUUUCCGGUGAAAAGUGUGGAUGGAUAUGACUCGUUCAUAACAUUCACAGAUGAUUACUAUCGCUAUGGUUAUAUUUAUCCAAUCAAAGAAAGAUCUGAAGCGUUGGAUUAAUUUAAAAUAUUCAAAGCUGAAGUUGAAAAUCAGCAUGAUAAAAGAAUAAAGAUAGUAAGGUCCGACUGUGGGGGAGAGUACUACGGUCGGCACACUCCAUAUGGCCAAGUCCCUGGACCUUUCGCAAAGUUCUUACAGGAGACUGGCAUAGUUGCCCAUUAUUCAUUGCGGGUGAACCUCAGCAAAAUGGAGUAGCUGAAAGGCGCAACCGUACACUUAUGGAUAUGGUGCACAACAUGAUGAGUUAUUCCAACUUGCCAUUGGGAUUAUGGAUGGAGGCGCUUAAAACCGCCAUUCACAUUCUCAAUAGAGUACCACGCAAGUCGGUGCCCAAAACACUGUAUGAGCUAUGGACAGGAAGGGUGCCUUCCCUACAUCACUUCAGGGUGUGUGGGUGCCCUGCUGAGGCCAAAAUGUUUAAUCCAAACAUUGCAAAGUUAGAUCCCAAAACAGUAAGUUGCCACUUCAUUGGCUAUCCAGACAGAUCAAAAGGUUUUCAUUUCUACUGCCCAGACAGAUAUACAAAGUUUGUAGAAACGAGACAUGCAGUCUUCUUUGAGAACGAAAUGAUGAGGGGGAGUUUGGUAGCUCGGAAAAUUGAUCUUGAGGAGAAGAGGGUGCAUGCACCUAAUCUGAUGAUUCAGGAGCCAUUUUUCUCACUACCAGUUGCAACUCCACCCAUAACAACUAUGGGGGUAGACUCGGAACCUGUCCGUCAGGAGCCGACUGAACCCGUUGUUGAGCAUGAAAGGGAGGUGCAACAACAAAUUUUAGAAGAAGUGCCAGAAGUUGAGGCACAGAAUGUGCCAGAAAUUGAGGCCCUUAGAAGGUCUACAAGACCAAGAAAGUCAGCUAUUUCUACUGACUUUAAAGUUUAUAACACAUAAAUGGUUCAUAUGGAAAAAGAUCCCACCUCAUAUGAAGAAGCCAUGAGAAGCCCUCAUUCAUCGAAGUGGAUGAAGGCAAUGGAAGAUGAGAUGAAAUCGAUGAGUUCCAAAGAUGUUUGGGACUUAGAGGAAAUUCCUAAAGGAGCCAAAACAGUAGGUUGUAGAUGGGUCUACAAAAUUAAGUAUGACUCUAAAGGGAAUAUAGAAAAGUAUAAAGCACGACUCGUGGCAAAAGGAUUUACACAAAGAGAAGGGAUAGAUUACAAUGAGACAUUUUCUUCAGUCUCAUGUAAGGAUUCCUUUAGAAUCAUAAUGGCAUUAGUUGCUCAUUUUGAUUUAGAAUUACAUCAAAUGGAUGUUAAGACGACAUUUCUGAAUGGUGAUUUAAAAGAAAAGGUCUACAUGAAACAACCCAAGGGUUUUAUCAUGGAAGGCAAGGAAAAUAUGGGAUGCCGCCUGAAGAAAUCCAUUUAUGGAUUAAGACAAGCCUCUCGGCAGUGGUAUCUAAAGUUUAAUCAAACGAUUAAAAGUUUUGGAUUUAAAGAAAAUAUUGAGGAUAAUUGCAUUUAUGCAAAGUUUAAAAAUGGGAAAUAUAUUUUCCUAAUCUUGUAUGUGGAUGAUAUCCUGCUUGCUAGCAGUGAUGUUAGUCUACUACAAGAAACAAAGAAAUACUUAUCCUCAAAUUUUGACAUAACAGAUCUUGGUGAAGCAUCAUAUGUUUUGGGCAUAGAAAUUCACCGAGACAAGAACAAUGGAGUCUUAGGACUAUCGCGGAAAGCAUAUUUAGAAAAGGUUCUUAAAAAGUAUAAUAUGCAUGCGAGUAAAGCCACACCUGCUCCUAUAGUCAAGGGCGAUAGUUUCGGGAAAUUUCAAUGUCCCAAGAACCAGUACGAGAUCGAUCAAAUGAAAGCAGUACCAUAUGCUUCGGCAGCUGGCAGCUUACAGUAUGCACAAGUGUGCACUCGUCCUGACUUAGCUUUUAUCACCGGGGUACUCGGUAGAUAUCAAGAGAACCCAGGCAUGGAGCACUGGAUGAUGGUAAAGAAAGCAUUACGUUAUGCGCAAGGCACGAAGGACUACAUGCUAAUAUACAGGAGAAGUGAUUCCCUAGAGAUAAAAGGGUAUUCAGACGCAGAUUUUGCGGGGGACAGAGAUGAUAGAAAAUCCACGUCAGGAUACGUCUUCACUGUCGCUGGGGGAGCUAUUUCGUGGAAAAGCUCCAAGCAGUCGAUAGUUGCAUCAUCCACGAUGUAUGCGGAAUUUAUAGCAUGCUUCGAAGCCACGGGGCAGGCGAUAUGGCUAAAGAAAUUUGUACCCGACUUGAAAGUGGUAGAUUGUAUUCACAAACCACUAAAGAUGUACUGCGACAACCAACCCGCAGUAUUUUACGCUCACAACAACAAGUUGAGUAAUGCUGCCAAAACAAUAGAGAUAAGGUAUUAUGUUGUGAAAGAUAAAAUCCAGGAUCAAACUAUAAGUUUCUAGCAUAUAAGGACAAGGAUAUGCUUGCGGAUCCGCUAACGAAAGGCUUACCACCCAAUGUGUUCAAGGAACACUUAGCCGACAUGGGUUUAAGGGAAAGCCUUAUGAUUUCUGGAUAGGCCCAAAAGGAACAGAAUUUGCUUCUGAACAUAACGUAUGUUGUAGCUGUAUGAUUCUAACGGCGAUUAAGCUGUGACGAUGAAACAUGCUCUAUGUACCAAUAUGUGAUGAAACAAAUAAACUAGAAAGUAUAAAGUUAAAAGUAAAGUUAAGAUCAAGGGGGAGAAUGUUAGGUUGAUCUCUAUCCCGUUCGAACCCAACGGGUUGAACGGGCCCUUGACUCGCGCCCUGAUCGGGGGCGCCCAACCAAACUAUGGUUGGUGGCCCCCUGUGACCCGCGCUAUAUAAACAGAGGUGGGGGCCGGGGCACGACUUACGAGGUUAAUCGCUGCCACAAACCCCACCGACAAUCCCUUCCGAUCUAGGGUUAGCGCGGCGCUCACGGGAAGCUCCACCACCGCCGCCAUCUCUCUGCCAUCACCGGCCCCUACUUCACCAUGGCCGGCGCUGGAUCGAGUUCGUCUGCACCAGCAGAAGGUAGGUCUACCGGAAAGAUCUAGCCUACACGACCCAAGUAGGUCUAUCAUCCUGCCCCUCAGCCGCCGCCGCAGCCUCGUCGGCGGGAACCUCGAGGGCGGCUGCCGCCUCCUCCUCCUCCCUGGCUGCCGCCGCCUCCUCCUCCUCCUCCCUAGCCGCUGCCGCUGCCGCUGCCUCCUCCAUGGCCGCCGCCGCCCUCUCUAGGGCCAACAGCUCGAGCUCGGCCAUGAGGGUGCGGACGGGGUCGUACCCGGUCCCGUGCACUCUCCCGAGCGCAGCGUUCUUCACCUGGAAUGCCGGGCGGUGCGCCUUGCCGUCCUUGCACUCGACCUUCCUCCGGUGCCCCUUUCCGUGUCGCAUGCGCCGCGCCAAAGCAAACAAAUCGAAUCCGUCAUGCGCGAAACAGAGCAGCUGAGCAGUAGAUGUGCACAACGCGCGAGGGGAAAGAGGGCUUACUUUCCUCUGCCCAUCGACGCCGGCGGGGGUCUCUCCGGCGAAGGCGGUGGCGGGAGACGCGCGACGAGGAGAGCGUGGAGGAGGAGGAGGAGGUGGCUCCGAGAAGUGAAAGUGAUUGAAGCCAUUCCGAUGCGGCGGUGGUAUUAAUACAGAGGGAGCAGGAGAGCUUCAUCGGACGGCCAGGGUUCUUUCGUGGUGGAUGGGAAUUCACGGAGGCCGUCCGAUCUGAUCCAGCCCCGCGUGUUGCAAUUACACCUGCGCGAGUCGGCCGGUCACACGCGAGAAAAAAAAUGCCCCAAAACCAUUUCCUGACGUGCGGGACCCACGAGUCAUGAGCACAAGACUAUCUUGCGCCGGAACCGGAAGCCGGCGGCCCAGCGCUGCCCGACUCUCCCAUCCGUGCCGUCCGUUUGAAAUCGGGCGUCCCCGAUCUCCGGCCCGGACCCAUCUACCUCUUCGUCGGCCCGCCUCCUCCUCCUCCCCAUCCCAUUCUCCCCCAAAUCGGCCGAGUAAACCCUAGCUAAACCCCGGCCUCCGCCGCCCCUCCCCACUCCGGCGAGCCAGCGAUCGCGACGAACUUCAAUGGGGGCGCGGACGCCGAGCGCUCCGGCGGGGUCCAGCGCGCUGGUCAGGCUCGGGCUGCUGGGCGGCGCGGGGCAACAAGACCCGCCACAAGUCGUCUUCAAGCGCCUCGAGGGGAUCAAGCAAAAGGUAACCCUCGGGCCGAUCCUUGGAUGGCUUUGCUUGCUCGCUGUUGUUUUCUGCGCGAUUGGUCCGUGGUUGAUUUCUAGUCGCCCUUGGGCGUUUGCUCCGUGCAGGUGUACGCCGAGGGGACCCAAAUCGUCAUCAGUGGCUCCAGAAGCCGAUCAUCUACGACGUCUGCGCACGACCCAACCCAAGCUGGUGGAGAACACCUUCGGGAGCCGGGAUUGGUAACGUUCUCCUGUCUCGAUGCCUCGUCGCCUAGAACAGAUGCAUGAUUUAUUGCUUACCUGGGAGCCAAAUCCAUGUUUAAGAGGGUUCGAUUUUAGUUGUCCAUGUUGAUGUUGUGCAAGUGUAGCCUGUUUGAGGUUCAGACACAUGUGAAGUGAUUAAUUUGUGAGCGAUUUGGACAUGUGGUUGGGGUCUGGUACAAGUAAAGGGCUUUGACAUUGUCAUUUCUGAGCAUAUUGUGUAAUUGUAGACUGUAACAGGGUUGUGCAUAUAGCAAAUUGGACAGGUUGAUGGGGUCUGAUACAUGUAAAGGGUCGUUGCAUUGUCAUUUCCGAGCCCUGUAAUAGGAUUGGACACAUCUGAAGUGUUUAUCAAUUUUGAUAGGUGGGUGGCGUCUGGUACACGUAAUGUGUAGUUUCCGGUUGCUGUGACAACAGCUGCUACCGCAUACCUGUCGUUGAUGGAGUCAAUUUUGGUUGACUCAUUUGGAUUUCGAUGCAACCCAUGUCAGCUGAUCUAUGAAAUCCUACGGCAUUGUACCAUAUGCACUGUCUAGUGUCUACUGCUCUGUGAAUAUGUAUUGUGGCUAAUUUGCUUUUAAUUUAUUAACAAUGGUCAACAUAAUAUAUUGCCUGUGAAUAUGCAUUUCAACUCAUUCGCUUUGAUAUCUCAACAGAAGUAACAAGUACCUUUUUUUUGCUUCGUCAUUAUAUGCCACCGUGACGAUUUAAGAUGGUUGGCUGAUGCUGAACAAGUUAUAUCAUUCUGACUAUGUGGAUUUGCUAGUGGCCAUGCGCUUCUUUUCUUUUUGAAAGUAGCGUUUACACGGCAGUUCCUUGCAUAUAUUUGAUACCGCUUGAUAAUUUGGACAGGUGAGAAUUAGUCCCCGUGUUCUUACACGACCAAUGCCAGAGACCACCAACUAUGUAGAGGACCCACUGGGAUAGAACUAUAAGGAGAGAGUGUUGCCUUCAAUCAUUCAUGAAACACCCAGAGCUGUGGUUGCCCAAUACAGCGCUAAUCACACAGAGAGAGGUACAGCUUCACCAUGUUUGCUGUGUGUACAUGCUUUCCAUGCUAUAGUAGAUGCUGGUCUUACUUGAAAUAUGUUACUAACUUAUCCUUCAUGUAAUGGCAGGCCGUGAGCAGGGAGAUCAGGAAGGUGCUGACAGAGAGGGCAAAGAAUUUCAACAUUGCUCUGGAUGAUGUGUCCAUUACCAGUCUCAGCUUUGGUAAAGAGUUCACUCAUGCCAUUGAAGCCAAACAGGUUGCUGCUCAGAAAGCUGAGCGUGCCAAGUUCAUUGUUGAGAAGGCUGAGCAAGACAAGAGAAGUGCAAUUGUCAGGGCACAGGUAAGCAAAACAGGAAUUAGAUAUUUCUCUUUCACACUACUAAACCUACUUAUCCUGUUUAUGGUUUCAAUCAUAGUUACCAGAGGCAUAUUGCCAGUGUUCUUUAUGUAUUCAUAGCUUCAUCAUAUAUUCCGUUACACUUGUUGAGUUUUGGCGCAUUUGAGCCUAACACUGGUAGCGCAUCUGAGCCAAACACCGGUAGAAAUGUACAUUCCAUCUGUUGAGUUUAUGGUACAUAGUUUCCAUACGGUUUCACCUUUUUUCAGACUUCCAGUGGUAGUUAGUAGAGGCAUAUUGCCAGUGUUGUUUAAGUCUUCGAGCCCGUUCGGCAACCCUCCACUCCAUAAAAACCUGUUGCUCCGCUCUGCUCCCCGCAGGAAGCGCUCUCCCGAUGGAGCGCCUGUGUUCGGCUGGCUCCGCUCCGUGAGAACGUGGGCUGGCAGCGCAUUACAGUCAAGUAUGGGCUGUUCAGGUGGGUAAGAAAAUCCAUGAGUGGAGCACCAACUGCUCACGCUGGAGAAAAUAGAUUCGUACCGUUUCAUUCGUGGCACUUGGCGGUGGCACAUUUUGUAAUUUCGAUCAGAUCCUGCUUCUGCUGAAAUGAGGAGCGAGGGUCAUGCCGCUCGGUCAAAUUGCACUGCACGCCGCUCCGCUCUCCCGCGACAGAUUCGCAGAGCUGAUGCGUUCGGCACGCUCCGGUCGUGGAGUUCGGAGCUGGAGUGUUACCGAACAGGCCCUUCAUAUCUUCAUAUAUGUCCCUGCAUUUGCUGAGUUUGGGAGCGCUUGAGCUUGGCUCUAGUAAAUUUGUACAUUUCAUAUGAUGAUUGGAUUGCUAUGUCCAUACUUUAGUUUUAGACUUUCAGUGGUAUGUUUGUACGAUUGAACAUAGUUUCAGACUUCCAGUGGUAUGUUGGUAUGACAGAACAUAGUUUCAGACUUCCAGUGGUAUGUUCAUACGACUGAAUAUAGUUUCAGACUUCCAGUGGUAUGUUCAUACAACUGACCGUAGUUUCAGACUUAUUCUAUGUUGAUAGUGUCACUUCCAGUCAUCCAGUGGUAGUUAGUAGAGGCAUAUUGCUAGUGUUGUUUAUAUCUUCAUAGCUUUGUAUAUUUCCUUACAUUUGCUUAGUUUGGUAGCACUUGAGGCCAACACUGGUUGUCUUCUACAUUUUGCUUGUUGAGUUUCAGAGCACCUGAUCCUAACACUGACGCGUCUUUCUGUAUCUGAACACUGAUGCGUCUUGCUCAUUGGUAAUGACAUCGCCAAUAACCCUGCGUUCCUCGCGCUCAGGCAGAUUGCAGCCGCCAGGGACAUUGCCCACAUCAUCUCAGCCUCCAACAAAAAGGUGUUCCUGGAGUCGGGCGACCUGCUGCUUAGGCUCCAGUCGCUCAAGAUCUUGGGCAACAUGAAGAAAUGAGACCGCUUCUUGUCAUGCAUGUUAUGGUUACCAUUGGCCGUCUCCAUGGAAGAAGAGUACUUUUGAGAGGAAUGAACUCUUAGUCUCUAGGAUUCGCGACCUGAAAACAACAAAGACGCCUUUGCUACUGUGAACCGUUUGUGCGCUUUUCAAGUGAACCUGUCAGCUACUAUUUCUAUGUGUAGCUUAUAACGUCUGGGCGGUUAUGUGGUGAGUAUGUUGGCCUUUUCAUGUUCAUCUUGGCUUGUUUCUUUCAUGCUGCGAAUUUCAUUGCUGCUACGAGUUCUACGAGGCAUUGCAUCUGUUGUCUGUUAUUUUACACAAUUCAACACAGGACAGCUUGAUGCCCAGGACCAUAAACUUCUGUACUUCUGUGGUUUUUUGUAAUCUUUUCUAAUUGUCGAGUUACCGUGACAAUGGUUGUCAUAGCUUACCUGCCAUCAAUGAAGUAUAUUUUUGUUGACUCACUUGGAUUUUACUGCAGCUCAUGUCAGUUGAUCUAUGAAAUCCUACAGCAUUGUAGCCUAUGGACUAUCUAGCAUCUACUGCUCUGUGAAUAAGCAUUUUAGCUCAUUUGCUUUUAAUUUAUUAGCAGUGGUCACCAUUAUAUAUUGCCUGUGAAUAAGCAUGUCAACUCAUUCGCUUUGAAUCUGUUAACAGCAGUCACAAGUACUUCUUUUGCUUCAUCAUUAUGUCUUUCCAUGACGAUUUAAGACAGUUAGCUGAUGCUGAACAAGUUAUAUCAUUCCGACUAUGUGAAUUUAUUAGUGGUCAUGCACUUCUUUUCUUUUCAAAAGUAGAAUUUACACUGCCGCUCACUGCAUAUAUUUGAUACCGCUUGAUAAUUUGGGCAGGUGAGAAUUGAUAUUCAUGUUCUUACACGGCCCAUGCCAAAGAGACUACCAACUAUGUACAGGACCCUGAGGGAGAGCUAUAAUUUGAAACACUCAAAGCUGUGGUUGCCCAAUACAAUGCAAGUCAGCUAAUCACACAGAGAGAGGUACAGCUUCACCAUGUUUGCCAUGUGUACGUGUUUUCCAUGCUAUAGUAGAUAAUAGCUGGUCUUACUUGGAAUAGGUUGCUAACUUAUCCUUUAUGUAAUGGCAGGCUGUGAGCAGGGAGAUCAGGGAGAUUUUGACAGUGAGGCUAAGAAUUUCAAUAUUGCUCUGGAUGGUGUGUCCGUUACUAGUCUCAAUUUUGGUAAAGAGUUCACUCAUGCCAUUGAAGCUGAACAGGUUGCUGCACACCAAGCUGAGCAUGCCAAAUUCAUUGUUGAGAAGGCUGAGCAAGACAAGAAAAGCGCAAUUGUUCUUUAUGCCCCGUUGACAGUUUCAGUCAUAGUUACUACCACCGGUAAGCAAAACAGGAACUAGAUACUUUUUCUUUCACAUGACUUGUCCUGUCGACAGUUUCAGUCAUAGUUACUAUAUUCAUAUUGCCAAUGUUCUUUAUGUCUAUAUAGCUUCAUCAUAUAUUUCAUUACACUUGUGGAGUUUUGGAGCGUCCGAGCCUAACAUUGGUUGUUUUGCACAUUCCAUUUGUUUAGUUUAUGAUAGACGGUGUUCAUACGACCUCCUAUUUCCUGCGUCAAUGGUUUCAGCCUUUCCUGCGUCCAUGACAUAUUCUAGUGUUGCCUAUGUCUUCAUAGCUUCAUAUAUUUCACUGCAUUUGCUGAGUUAUGGAACACUUUUGCCUGACACUAGUAAUUUUGUAUAUUUCAUAUGAUAGAUGAUUGCUAUCUCCAUAGUUUAGUUUCAGACUUCUAGUUGUACGUUUGUACCACUGAACAUAGUUUCAGCUUCCAGUAGUAUGUUCGUUCGACUGAAUAUAUUUUCAGACUUCCCGGGUUUUGUGGGUUUUGUUCAUAAGACUGUACAUAAGUUUAGACUUUCAGUGGUAUCUUCGUAUGUUCAUACUAGUGAACAUAGUUUCAGACUUAACCAUUUGCUAUGUUGAUAGUAUCACUUUCAGUGGUAAUUAGUAGAGGCAUAUUGCUAGUAUUGUUUAUAUCUUAAUAAAUUUCAUUGCAUUUGCUGAGUUUGGUAGCACAUGAGCAACAUUCGUUUUCUUGUACAUUUCCACUACUAGGAAAAAGCCUAGUAGUAGCGCGGGGUAAAAGACUAGUAGUAGCGCGGUUGCCCGCGCUACUACUACGGCGCUACAGCUAACUGGUAGUAGUAGCGUGCCUACUUCUGUUAGUAGUAGCGUGGGUGCCACCCCAGCUACUACUAGUUAGUAGUAGCAUGGGUCUGGACCGUCGCUACUACUAACUAAUUAGGAAUUAAAAAAAUAAAUUCCAGCCAUGGCUACUCCUGCUUGGCGUCAUCGUCCUCUUCAUCCAUGGCCGAUGCUGAUCCUGGAGGGGAUGAAGUCGUCCAUGGUGAUGGUGCUUCCCCAUCCAACUCUUCUCCACAAUCUCCUUUGCUGCUUCUACAAAAAAAGAGAAAAGGAUUAGAAGAGGAAGAGAGAGAUAGAGAGGAGUAGGUGCAGCAACUCACCAGUGGCUGUCGUAGUUGGGGCCGAAACCCUAAAUGAUGCCAUGGGUUGCCUCCAUCAGAGAUCUGGCCAUCGUCAUGGGCAGUGCUCUGCUAGAUCUCCCUCUCCUUUCAGUAGCGGAGGAGGAGGAAGGAGGGGCAGGGGAGGGGGUUGCGGUGGAAGAGGAGGUCGCUGGAUUUGAGGGAGAUGUCGAGGUGUGAGGUCGGCAGUUGCGGUGGGCGAGGAAGGGCAUCUCAGGUGGGAGGGAGAAGUGAAAUCGAGAGGGUGUGGGUCUGGGAUUGGGCCUCUGUGUGCUAUGUUUAGGCAUGUCCCGGGGGCACGAUGGAGAGCACUUACUAGUAGCGAGGGUUUAUAACCCGCGCUACUACUAUCAACUUAGUAGUAGCAUGGGUUUAUAAACCCGCGCUACUAGUAAGUAGCAGUAGCAAGGGGUAUAAACCCACGCUACUAGUAAGCGUCUACCUAUAAGCUUUUCCCUAGUAGCGUUUGCUUGUUGAAUUGUAGAGCACCUGAUCCAAAACACUGAUGCGUCUUUCCAUAUCUGAACAACCCUGCUUUCAUCACACUCAGACAGAUUGAAGCUUCCAGGGAGAUCACCCAUACUAUCACAAGCUCCAACAACAAGGUGUUUCUGUACUCGAGCAACCUUACAGAGUAUCACCCAUACAGAGAUGGUAUUCAGAGCACACGUUGACCGUAGGAAGUACCCCUAGGAUCGGAAAGCCAUAGGAAGAAUUACUACAUGUUUUAUUUUCCGUAUUUCUCCCUUGUUCAUUUCUGGCUUCUCUCCGAUUUUAACCUUCUAAAUGGCCGCCGAGUUCAACCCAGUCCUGCUACCGGAGUUCUGCCAACUGGAUGAGACGAUGCAUUUCGGCAAGCAGCUGAUUCAGAUCAUCAAGGAGUUAAAGAUUGCUCUGCCCUCUAUCAUCGGGACUCGUACCAACGCAUUUUCGGCGGAUACUCGCUAUAGGAUUGUGGUGCACAUUCCAGGGAAGGUCUUUCGGAAGCUUCUCAGAGCCCAUUGACAUCCAGUUUACCCCCCUACUUGGAUCCUCGGGAGGGACAUGGCUAUUCAUUGUGCACUUAGAAACAUUCAGGAGGAGUACAGGGCCGAGCUCAUCGAUUCAGACCUCACCAUGAUCUCCCGCAAAACUACAAAUGGAGAGAUCGUGCGCACAGUGAAUGACGACUCCAUCCUCUCAUAUGUCUAAGACCUGGAGACUCACAUUAGGACUCUGGAGGUUCAGACGCAUAGAAGCUUGAAGAUGUUCAGGAAGCUGCUGUUCCGUGAACUGGAGUUGGAGGAUAAAACAUGCAAGGACCACGAUGAGCAUGAAGAAGUCAAAGACCUUCUGGAAAGAAUCCAGAACUUGAAGAUAUAUUGCCGAGAUGGAAGAGAAGAUGGACCUGGGAGAAGAUCUCUAUCCGAGUGGUGAUGAUGGGCCCGUAGUGAGCAAUGAUGAGGACUACGACGAGAGCUCUGCUGAAGGGCACACCACCGGAGGACGCAACAUCGGAAGACGCAUCGCUGGAGGACUCAAUGAUAUCUGAGGAGGAUACUUAGUCAUGACUGCCAUGUUAUUUUUAUUUUACCGUUGAUCGAUUAGGCCGAUGUUUUCGAUUUGUCGUAAGAUUUGUAUGCUGAGUUUGAACUAUGAUUAAAUUGAAUAAAUAAUGAUUGGUGUGAUAAUGUUUGUGCAUGCAUAUGGGCUCUGUUUUUAAGGCGUCCCUAAGGCGUCGCUUAGGCGACGCCUAGGCGUCAGGGCGCCCCCAGGAGGCAAGGCGUCGGCCUUGCCUUACAUGUGUGUCUAAGGCGUCCGCCUUAGUCCUUAAGGCGUCCAAGGCGUCCGCCUAGGCGCCACUCUGCCUGCCUUAGGCAAAUAAGGACGCCUUAGACAGAGCUGGGUGGUUUAGGCGGGAAACAGAUAACUGGGAGGGAAGGAAAGGGCGGGAAACUUUGUUUUGGCGCCAACAGGUACUAGAGGGAGAGAGAGAGAGACCUGUAACCAUUUUCAGUUUCCCCCCACCCCCAGGCUGGAUCUGAGCUUCUCCCCCUCCUCUCUGGCAGCUUCCCCCUCCUCCCCGGCAGAUCCCCCUCCCCUCCUACAGUUCCUCCUCCUCCUCUCCUGCAGAUUCUCCAUCCUCUCCUGCAGAUUCUCCAUCCUCUCCAGAACCAUAUGGGCUCUACAACCAUCAGUUGCAAGGUGUGUAUGGCUGUAUGCCUAGUUGCCUAAUGCCUACCAAAUUCUACUUAAUUCUGUUGCUUACAAGUCUCUAACGCGUCGCCUCGCCUUAUGCCUUAGCGCUUAGGCAGUGAGGCGCCCCCCCAGCGACUCGCCUCGCCUUACCGCCUUAAAAACAUAGCAUAUGGGUAUUGUAUUUUCCUCUUUAGACCCUUAUUUUAUUCUAAUUUCUCAUCCACUCCAAAGCAUCAUAUGCCUUCGAGACGUGACCCCGGAUUCAACUUUCCCCCGGAGCUCACUCAACUGAUCCAACAACAAAAUGCCUUGAUGCAGAUGCUCAUCCAGAACCAAGGCAACAACAACAACAACAACAAUCCACUGCCACCCGCCCUGUCGAUAACCUGACCCGUAUGUUGAAUUCGGGGUCACGUCUCGGAGGCAUCUGAUGUUUUGGAGUGGAUAAGAAAUUAGAAUAGAAUAAGAGUCUAAAGAGUAAAAUACAAUACCCAUAUGCAUGCGCAAACAUUAUCACAACAAUCAUUCAUUUAUUCAAUUCAAUCAUAGUUCAAACUCUGGAUACAAAUCUUACGACAAAUUGAAAACAUCGGCCUAAUUGAUCAACGAUAAUAUAAAAGUAACAUGGCGGUCAGUCAUGACUAAGUGUUCAACUCAGAUAUCUUUGCAUCCUCCGGCAGUGCGUCUUUCGGUGUGCGUCCUUCGGUGGUGCGUCCUUCAGCAGAACUCUCCUCGUAGUCCUCAUUAUUGCUCACUACGGGUCCAUCGUCACCACUCGGAUAGAGAUCUUCUCCCAUGUCCAUCUUCUCUUCCAUCGCGGCAAUAUAAGUCUUCAAGUUCUGGAUUCUUUCCAGAAGGUCCUUGACUUCUACAUGCUCAUCGUGGUCCUCGCGUGCUUUGUCCACCAACUCCAGUUCAUGGAAUAACUUCCUGAACACUUGAAGCUUCUACGCGUCUGAACCUCCAGAGUCCCGAUGUGAGUCUCCAGGUCUUGGACAUAUGUGAUGAUGGAGUUGUCAUUCACGAUGCAUACGAUCUCUCCAUUUACUGUUCUGCGGGAGAUCAUGGUGAGGUCUGAUCCGAUGAGCUCGGCCCUGUACUCCUCCCGGAUGUGUCCAAGUGCAUGAUGAAUAGCCAUGUCCCUCCCGAGGAUCCAAGUAGGCGAGGUAAACUGGAAGUCAAUGGGCUCUGAGAAGCUUCCGAAAGUCCUCCCUGGAUUGUGCACCACAAUCCUAUAGCGAGUGUCUGCCGGAAGUGCGUUGGUAGGAGUCCUGGUGAUAGAGGGCAGAGCAAUCUUCAACUCCUUGAUGAUCUGAAUCAGCUGCUUGCCGAAAGGCAUCGUCUCUUCCGGCUGGCAAAACUCCGGCAGCAGGACUGGGUUGAACUCGGCAGCCAUCUAGAAGGUUGAAAUCGGAGAGAAGUCAGAAAUGAACAUGGGAGAAAUACAGAAAAUAAAACAUGUAUUAAUUCUUCCUAUGGCUUUCCGAUCCUAGGGGUUAUGUCCUACGGUCAGUGUGUGCUCUGAAUACCAUCUCUGUAUGGGUGAUACUUGUUGUUGUUGGAGCUUUGCUAGAUAUGGCUUUCGCUUCAAUUUUGAAUUUGGCAUUAAGAUAUAUUCUGCUGAAAAUGACAAAACUUACUAUGUAGAUGCAAAAUAGUAGCAAAAUACAUGAAAGUUUGGCAUUAAGAUAUAUUCUGCUGAAAAUGAAAUACAAAAGUGGAUCAUACCGGCUUGAACAUGUCAACAACAAUGUCAUCCAGACCACCACUGAGCUCCCUUUGCAGCCCACUUGUCCCCACGAGAUCAUUGUUGUUGUAAUUGAGCUGAUUACCAACAGCUUGCUGAUCAAUCUUGCCAUCCUGCAGAGAGGAACACCACCUGUAUUCCCGCCAUCCAGAGUCUGCCUUGGCACAACCGAAUUGUCAAUGCGAAGGUUUGGCAAUGAAGUGUUGAUGCCUGAAUUGCUAAACGCAAGGUUGCUAUUGAGCGUCUCUCUCAAGUUUGUGCUGUUUCCAAAGGUGAAUGGCGCUGCACCCUGAUUGAAUACCAUUGGAAGGGUAUUGCUAGCUAGUGGUGCUACUUGGUUCUGCAUAUCAUUUCCCAGAGAUGUAAUCUGAUUUGAUGGUGGUGCAUAGCUUGAGACAGGUUCCAUCCUAGGGCCAUUCCCAUGCAAGCUUGCUUGGGACAUGCUGCCGUUCUGACCAAGUUGCUGAAUGUUGGACGGCACUGCAGUUUGCCAGGUGUUACUACUUCUUCCAAGAUCUGGAAAGUGGGGAGAAUCACUAGCGAAUGAGCUAAAUGAGCCUGUCGAAGACGAAUUUAUCCGACCAAGGUGUUGCCUGUUGUUUGAUUCAAGAGACUGAACUGCCCUAUUUGUAGGAGCCAAUGGUGCACCAUUUGAAAUGUUUGCAAAAGAGUUACCAGAAGUACCAGUCACCAUGGUUGACAUGUGUGCACCCCUGAUCAGGUUACCAUUAUUGACAUCCAAAUCGUUCAGGGAAGUGCCCAGAUUAUUCUGGGCAUGGCCAAGGUGAAGUGGCUGCGACUGUGGAGACAGCAACCCAUGCAUUCCGUAUGCAGAAGGGGAGUUCAUCCUUGCAACAAGGUUAUAGCUUCAUUCAUUUGGGUUAUGAAAGAGCAGUUGUUGUAGUUUUGUUGCCAGCACAUGUUUGUAUUGCUAAAACCUCAUUUUGUUCAGCUCCUGAAGCCUGAAGUAUGUGAGUUAUCAAGAAGCACAAUUUACAUGAUGCUAAUCAUGAUAAGGUAUGGUGUAGGUAUUCCCAAUUUGAUUAUAAAAUUAUCACAAGCAUUUUACUUGGUUCAUGAUUUGGUACAUGCCUCUCUUAUCUCACUCUCUACAUUAGUUGUGCGGCCAUCGGCGAUGGUGACCUUGACCGAACUGAUGAAAUUUCAGGACCAUAAUGCCUCCCAAAUCAAGGGGUUGCUGAUCAAUUUCAUCCACUCAGAGUGGCCAUUGCUUCUCAAAGUUCCUUCUUUCUUGGUUGAUUUCAUUACUCCAAUUAUCAAGGUCUGCAACUCUCUCGGUCAUUCGUCACAUAUAUAAUUUUUUGUUCUGAAGAUACAUGGUUAUACAUAUUUCAGUAUUAAGUUUUGUCAUUCUGUUGGUUUUAUAACUCCUAUAAACUUUUCCUUAUUUGUCCAGGCAACCAAUAACUAGAGCAUAGCUGUCAAGUCGUUUUAUUUAUUGCCAGACUAUGAAGCAUGGAAAGAGCAGCUAGGAGGAAAUGUAAGUUGUUCUAUAAAGUUCUACAGGGUGUGUUUUUGCCAUUUGCUUAUUAAGUUUCGCCCUUGUUUUUCACUGGAUGGUACUAUCAUAAAGAUGACUGUACUUGUAUUUGGUCUUCACUGAGUUAGUGCGCGCUUGGAGUUCCUUCAGAAUCAAGACAAGAAAAGCUUUGGGUUCAGAGAAAUUUUCAACACUGUUUUAUUAUUUCAAUUUUUGCGAUUUCUGACGUUCGAGUCAAGGAUGUCAAGAUUUCCUUGUUUUGUUAUUGAUGGAAAAUGUAUAAUGCUCUAUUGGGAACCUUUUAUUCUCUGUUUAGUCUGUACUAUGUAAGUUUUCAUUCUUGGUAAAGAACUAAAUGAUGUUUUGCUGCUACACUCUUAUAAUGCCUUUUCUUGAAGAAGAUUAUAUUAAUUGGUUGGUGAGCUGAUCUAUCUGUGAUUUGUACCUCGGUUGACAGGAUAUCUCAUAUAUGAAACCAUGAAUCAGGGAUCGUUGGGUUAUCUGAGCUGGUAUAACUCCGGAACGACAAAGUGGUUCAGGUCUGUGGCCAUGACGAUCCAAUACUUCAGGUGACAUUGUGAACCAGGUUAUCCCCAUUGAGCUUGUUGACACCCUUACUAUUAUUUGCUGCUCUGUUUGGUUUGGAGGUACCCCCAUGUUCCAUGAGAUAGCUUGGCUGGCUGACGCAUCCAUGUUUUAUGUGUUUUAUGUGGUGUUCGUUGUGAGACAAAGUUUGAGCCUUUGAGGUUGAUCUGAUCUGUAGCUAUUUAGUUUGAGUACAUGCAUUCAUAGAUUUGGGUCCUCUGGAGCUUGAGUUCUUUUUGGGUGCUAUUUGGGUGUGGCUUUUUGUACACAUGAUCACAUGAUCAUGCCAUGAGUGACUGGGGAACUACCAAUGAGAGCCUUUAAUUUUUUCCUUCUAAUGGCUAAUACUUCUCUUCUUAACGUAUGUUUAUUGUCCAAGAGAAGGAGUGGAUAUCAUCUACUCAGAUUUAGCCCAUUUGAAAUUUCUAAAAAACAAGUCAGACCCUAUCGACACGCUUGCUCUUCCUGGUGCAUGUCUUCUUCAAAAGUGUCACAACGAUCGCCAAAAGAUACCGUGGAAUGGACGUUUGCCUAUAUGGCACAGCACAAGCACGCCUCAAGCGGCACACCCAACCCCUAGUUUCAUAUGAUAGAUGACUGCUAUGUCCAUAGUUUAGUUUCAGACUCCCAGUGGUAUGUUCGUAUGAGUGAACAUAGUUUCAGACUUUCAGUGAUUUCAUAGCACUGAACUUUCAGACUUCCAUUUGCUAUGUUCAUAGUGUCACUUCCAGUGGUAGGUAGUAGAGGCAACACUAGUUUUGUAUAUUUCACCUGUUGAGUUUUAGAGCACCUGAUCAGAACUCUGAUGCGUGUUUCUAUAUCUGUGCAGGGAGAGGCAAAGAGUACAGAGCUCAUUGGUAAGGCCACUCGCCAACAUCCCAGCUUUCGUCGCGCUCAGACAGAUUGAAGCCGCCAGGAGAUCGACCUGCCUGCUUGGGCUCCAGUCGCUCAAGAUCUGCAAUAACAAGAAAUGAGACCGUUUCCUGUCAUACACGUUACGGUUACCGUUGACCGUCUCCAUGGAAGAAGAGUACUUCUGAGAGGAACAAACACUUACUCCCUCCGUCCCAUAAUAUAAGAACGUUUUUGACACUAAUGUAGUGUUAAAAACGUUCUUAUAUUUUGGGACAGGGAGUAGUUUCUAGCAUUCCUGACCCGAAAGCAACAAAGACGCCCUUUGCUACUGUGAACCGUUUGUGCGCUUUUUCAAGUGAACCCGCCAGCCACUAUUGCUCUGCGUAGCUUAUAAUGUCUGGGCGGUUAUGUGGUGAUUAUGCUGGCUGUUUCAUGCUCAUGUUGGCUUGUUCCUUUUGUGCUACGCAUUUCAUUGGUGCUGUGAGUUCGCUUGAGACAUUGCUUACUUCGCUUCUGUUGCCAUUUAUUUUAGAUAUUUAGUUGCAAAAUGGUUAAUGCACAGCCCUCUUGGGUACAUAGAACUGCCAGCCAGGCUGCUUCUGGCCCCUUCAAGGAUUACUACAGAAUGAAGAUGAAUCACUUUCCAUCCGGCUCUUGAAUGUUGCGAAGAUGGCGCCAGAGCCCACUCGUUUCAUGCAAAAUCAAUAUACUCCAUUCCCUCAUACAAGGCCACUUCAUAUUUUUAUGUCUAACUUUGACCAUUAAUUUUACCAACAAAAAGUGAGUUAUAUGCCACAAAAAGUAUUUCAUUGGAUGCACAUUUGAAUGAACUUUCUGAUGAUAUAUCUUUGAUGACAUAUAAUUCAUAUUCUAUUGACCAAAAUUAUAAGUCAAAAUUUGACACCAAAAAUGAAGUGACCUUGUAUAAGGGAAUGGAGGGAAUAUCUUAUUACAUAGUCACAUUUUCUUUAAAUAAUAGUCACUGUAGGUUAUGCAGUUAGAGAGUACUCUUCGUUUCUUACCCUGCAGAUUUGGUUCUAGGUCUAGAAAAACAUGUAUGGAACAUUGGAGCUACAGGUACAGAGCUUUUCAUAUUUACUACACUCCUCGCAAGAUAAAAUAAAGAUAAUUAAACAACCGUAAAUGUUUAACAUGGCAAUUUUUAUUUUGUAGAUCAUACGACCUUUUUUAUAUCACACUCAUUGUAAUUUUAUAAAAUUAGAGAGAUGACAGUUUUUAUAAAGUAGCAUGGCGUUUUUUCAUAAAUUAGAUCAUGACAAUUUAUUUGAGGGUCUUCAUUUGUGUUACUUGCAUUUUUUUCAAAAGAAAAAACUAAAUGGGCCUCUGGGCCAACAAGAGGCCGCACUAGAGAGAACCAUCUGAAACGACGUUUGCCGAUAGUGUUCCUAGCUAAACGACAUUUGGAAGGCCUCCUAGCUAAACAACAUUUGGAAGGCCUCCUAGCUAAACAACUCGGUCCUUAGGGUUCCCUCAAAAAAAAAAAAAAACUGGGUCCUUAGGGUCCUAAAACAACUGAGUCCUUAGAUUUGGGGGUCCUCCUCAACCCGGCACACCUACGCGCCGCCGUUUCAUCCAGCGACCUCCUCCCUCCUUGCCCAUAAGACGCAAUUCCAAUGGCACGACUGACUGGCAGUAGCCACUUACCAGCGACACUACACUACCGCACGUGCCAGCUGAACGCCACUAGUAAGCACAUUCACACGCCGCUAAUUAGGGGAUUCUAUACUAGUGUUUGUCAUUGUUUGUCACCACCACCGAUUUGGUCAGGGAUGGGGGCUUGACACAUCACCGUCGACAGAAAUCCUCGUGUGUUCGGCUCUUGAAUGUUGCAAAGAUGGCACCAGAGCCCAAACACACUUGGCCACGCUACACUCAAUCAUUUUGGUCUUCUUGAAUCUUUGAUUUUAACAAUUUCAUGGUCGUCAAUCAUGCUCUCUCAUUUCUCUCCAUAGGCUCACACAUCGCCCAUCCCCCACAAUCGUAUCCCUGAACAAAGCCUUCAUCCACUCAUUUUUGUCUUCGUAUAGGCUCUCGUCUUUUCCCUCUUUCUCGCCACCAUUUUGUCAGGCACUUGCUGCCGCAAUGACAACAACGAUGCCUCUAAAAUAUCAUCCAUGUUGCAUACACAGAGGAACAACAUGUGGACGCACGAAAUAUGCUUUUCAAGGUUAACCAUUUUAUUUUAUUUUGGUCGGAGUGUGCCUGUUCCAACACAUAAUAACCAUUCAUGUGGCAAGCUACAUAAAUAGGUUCUCCCCAUAAAUAAAUAAAUUAAUAUCAUGUGUGGAUUCAAAGAUCCACGUAUCAGAUAUUAAACUGAUAAGAACAGAUACUGCACUUGAUCUUAGCCGAAGGCCGAGAAAGGUAUGCUUUAAUUGGUGAUCCUGCGUCCACUUUUAUUGCUCCCUGAACCGCCUCUCCCCAGGUGCAAAAGCAAUAUUGGACUAUUCCAACAAUAUGCGAAAAUCCGUUUCUGAGCUCGGGCUCAGCUGAUCCUGAUAUCCACACCAAUGGUGUGCGCCAAGAUCUGUGCGUCUUCCUGUAUUUCCAUGUCGUAUAUGCCUUUUCUGCCUCAUGUGACAGCCGCGCAUUUAUGAAAACGGCACGUCGCAAGGCCGUCGCGGGACAGAUAGAGAAGCGAUGGCUCGGCACCCCAUCUGAGCCAUGAGCCGUAUGAAGGAAGACUACGCUCAGACGGCGUCGACACAUCCGCCAUUAAAUGCCCACCACCCCAUCCAUCUCAUUCACUCUCCCGAGCUAGCCCCUGCUCAGCCAUCUCCAUCUUCAUCCUCAUCUGCGACCGCCGGUAACCAAGCUGGUGAACGCUUCUACAAGUGCAUCCGCUACGAUGCAAUCGGCAAUCUAAUUUAAUUCUCUUGAAAUAUUAGUCUCCCGUGUCUGCUGGUCGGGCUGAUUUUUGAUUAUGUUACUUGACCCGCAUGAGGUUACUCAACUGAAGGAAGCCAGACAAUUAACCCAGAAUGGAUCCCCACGUGUUUAAGGUUCAAGGAUGCAACCAGUGAAAAUGAAACAAGGAAGUAGAUUUUACAAACAGGGCCGUCACAACGGAACGCGUGAACGAUACUAAUUAACCAACAUCUUCUAGCACACAAAUCACUUACCAGUUCUCAUUUAGCUACGCGACCUAGUCUAUUAUACGGCGGCGUUUAGGCGGCAUGCUGAUAAUGUCCUCCUCAUCUUCAGUCUUCCACGUUGCCACCAAAGAGGACACCAGAUCGGUCGUCGAUGGCAGAACUACCAGUGCUACGCGGCGAAUCCGGAGCAGCAGCUGGAUCAUAAUCACCAAAUUUUUCUUCCCAUGAAUCUUGCCCCACCAUGCUGCCCAAAUCAAUGGGUGAGAGUCCGGUGGACAGACUCAUCUUGCUGGACGACCUCGCCCUGAGAAAUCAAAAGCUAACGAGAUCAGAGAGGAUUCAGUUAUGCAUCUGCUUCCUGCCCGAGAGUUAGCCGCAGAUCGGGCUGCUCACCUCUCCAUUAGCGUCGUCGACAUACGCUGGCAGAUGCGUCGUGCUCCAGGCGCUAGAUGCGGAGUCCACGCGGGAGGGAGGUGAAGGCUGCAGCAAGCAGAGAUUUUUUUGAUUCAGAAUCGUUGUGCCGCUGAAUCAUAUGCACAGAUCACUUCGAAGUUCAGAAAAAGCUAGGGAGAACUCACAGGAAGAUUCAAUCCCACGAACGCAUCAUGCCCCGCCCCUCUGGUUGUGCCACUACUUGCCGAUUCAGCGAGAGAACCUCCCAUCGGAUGCCGGCGACCCGUUCAAAAAAAUUCAAAAUCAGUUUGGCAAUGGUAUUGGCCUGGAUGUCAGCGAACGCCUCAAGUGUCUUUUGGACAUCGUCUUCAGCCUGUUCACGGCUAAUCUUCCCACAAAUACUCCUGAGCGUCCUCUUCGUGAAAGGGACCUUCUUGACCGAACCAAAGAAGCUCCCAACUAUGCUGUAUACCUUCCCAAGGUUAACAUUGUUUUCCCUCAGUUGCUUUAUCAAAUGCUUAGUGUAUAUAUCUAUGUGUUUAUGAGAAGGCCAGUGCACUUUCUCUCCCAUUGUCAGCGACAUGGAAUGGUUGUGACUCGCUCGAUGCUCUGUUAUGUACCAGCUGUUGUUAGAUGCACGCAGAAGCCUGAUCAGAGCUGGGAACUCACAUAUGCAGGACUGACUGUUUCCGGUUUCCGGUUUCCCCUGUAGAAUAUCCAGCAAACAUGUCAAAAGUAGCCCAGCUCUAGUUCCAAAAGAAAUCUUGAUCGUAGUCAUUACUAUUAUUUCCACAUUUAGGUUUUUCAUUUUUAUUUUGUUGCAUUAAAAGUGUACUCACCGAGCAACCACAAACUAUUUCCUGCAUGCCUUUUGUCCUCUCGGCGUUGAGUCUGCUUUUUCCAUAUCUUAUGCCAAAACCUAAUUCCCAAGAAUAUAGGUUAUAGAAAUCAUAUGCCUCGCCCAACGAAUCAAAACUGAGUCCUAGCUCAGGUCUAACAACGCUCUUGUCAGGCUGCUCUGCAUAUUUGAGGAUUGAAACCUCGAGAGCGCUCAUCCUCGAUGGGCAUGGCACUCGGUCUGCAUAUUUGCAAGAAAAAUGGAAAAUGUAGUUAAUUUCCUGUUUUUUAUUCCACACAGAUGAUUCCUCUAAUAGCAGUUUUUUUUUUCAUUUUCAUAUCUUUUUCGGUUUGUGUCCCCUUUGUUUACCCUAAACAUAAACAUCGGCAAUUUGCAAAUACCACAACGGCGCGCCGGCCUUCUUUUGCCCUGCCCAGAAAUCUGUUUUCUGAUGUGAUACUCCUAAUAGCAGCAGUUUCUUUUCUCAUUUUCUCCUUUUUCUGGAUUUGUGUCACAUUUUUAUAUCCUGAACAGGAAUAUACGGCGGUCAUGUAAAGUUAAAUUUGCAGGGCAUUUUGCAAUACCACAACAGGAUUGCUGACAUUUUUUGUCCUUUUUCGGAUUCGUGUCUCAUUUGUACUCCCUCCGUUCCAAAAUAGAUGACCCAACUUUGUACUAAAGUUAGUACAAAGUUGGAUCAUCUAUUUUGGAACAGAGGGAGUACAUACUAAACAUAUAUGUAUAUAUAUGGUGCUCAGGUAAAAUUAAUUUGCAGGGCAAUUGCAAAAUACAACAACAGGGCUCUGACCUUUUAGUCCAUCCGGGGGACCUCGUCGGAGAUUCAGCACGAAAACGCUGGUCACCUUCUUGUCGGUCUGUAGCUGCUCCUUCGUCCUCCAUUUGAGCCAGCCCAGAAACACCAUUCACCUCCCCAACAUCCUGGGUUGCACUCCCCUUCUCCAGCAGAUAAUGGAGUGGAACUGGAUCUGGGUGGUCAAGGCUGUCAGCAAAUCCCUCCCGUACGGGGAAUCUGCGAGAGGAACGGCGAAACGACGGCAUCAGAAUCAGAUUUAUAGGCAGGGCAGUUCAAGCACAACUCAAAGCUUGUCGCCGUCUGUAAUCUAAAAUAAGAAAAUUUGCAGAGAUCUACCCGGAACCAACCUGACCACCGCAUCAAGCAGGAACUCCAUACCCUCGGCGUCCAUCCGUCGCUAGCCCGACGUGGAAACACCGGCGCCGCCGCAGUCCGGUAGGCCGACCUCCGCGACACGCUCCCCUUUUUGUCCCCCACACCCUAGGUUACCACGGCGGCGACGGCCCACUAGAAUGAACUAGGAAAGGCGAGAACAGGACGGCACAUACUGCGCCACCGUCACGGACCCAUAUCUGAUCCUUGGCCCAGACUAAAAAAGCAAACGUGCUGGUCCACAGCCUAGUCAGAAAGCCAACGUGCUGGUCCACGGCCCAGGCCGAGCCGCCGCGACGUCCGUCGGGCCGUAUCAAGCCGACCCCACGUCUUGCGCACUGUUUUCUACCGUAUUCGGGGGAUUCGCUGUUUUAUUGACGCGCGUAUCUGACAGUCCAGCUGGAUUUGUUCACAUCCCAAGACUGAAACGAACGAGCUAGAUUACGGGUGCAGCUGAGCCCGAGCUCCAAAACGCCCCUCUCGCAUAUGGGAGUAUUCGCUAGAAAAACAAAAGGCUGCGCUGGUCCAACCAGCGAUGCGGGCCGGGUGGGCCAGCCUCGCUGGGCUGGUCCUCGUUUUGGGAUCGGGAACCUACGCAACGGCCCAAUUCCCCUAUGCCAAAAGACACAGUCGCAUUGGGCGAAAGCCGCCGCCGCGGACGCGGCGGACCCGAUGGCCGGAAGCCGCCGCCGCCGCCGCCGCGGAAGAGCGCGGCUGCCGCAGCAGGGUGCCGAACCCUCGCCGCAGGCAGAGACCGCUCUCAGCUCCACGUCUGCACCCUCACCCCAACCGUAACCUCGCUCGUCUCUCCUUUCCCCCUCUUUUAUCUUUCACACAUCUUCGUUAGUUAGGGUUUAAUUAAAGUAGAAUCGGGAGAGGCAGUAAUCUUGCCCUAGCGAAUCCGUAGUGAAAUUUACAGUAUUUUGGCGAAUUGGUAGGAACAUCUUGAUGAUUUGACAGGUGAUAUUUACGGCAUUUUUGUGAAUUAGUGGUGGUAUAAUUGACUCACUGGCCUCCCCUAAACUUGGAUCGCCACCACUGUCUACAAGGUGUGCCACUCGGUUCAGUUGUUGAUAACUCCAUUGUCUCUGAUGAGGGAAAUAGUUUCAGUUUUCCUUAAUUGCAAUGUAGAUGAGUAUUACAGUUGCUGCCUUGAACUGUGCUCACUUGGUUCAGUGAUUGCCUGAAACUCAGAGUCCAAUGUGAUUUGAUCGAUUCUUUUACUGUGACUGUUAUUGGGAAGGAGUAAAUUAAAAUUUCUUAUCAAAGCUGUCCGCGUAAACAUCAGAGGGAUUAUCACCAUUUUUUUUGUUUGUAAAAUGUAUAUUGGUCACCUGAUGUGAUUCAGUUUAGUGCGUGGUUGGGUUGGAUCCAGAGUAGAAUCAGCAAGGAGCGUCUCCCAUUAUAUCACUUGAUAUGAUUAAGAGUGUUGCACGCUUGGGUUGGAUAAUGUAUAUGGCCUCUUGUUCGUUUGGUCUUUCUCAUGGUCAUGGUGCUGCCAUGAACAAUGUUUACUUCUGUUUGAUGACCAAGUGAAAAAUAGAUAAGCAAAUGAUCGCUAUGCAAGUUUUCUAGAAGAAGGGGAGCAUGCUAUUCCGCUUUUACAUCAAGCAAAAUCAUCACUUAGAACUAUUUAUUUCAAGGAUACUCUACAAGGCACCCCACCUGUCACGAUAUGAAAGUUAUAUAAUUGUAUAUAGCGUUGUCUCACUGAAGAUAUUAUAGCUAGAGUAUGUUAUCUUAGAAAAAAAGUCAAGGUGUAGGUGGUUCUAGAGUAGUUUCUUUUGAUAGAAGUUUGACAUGUCUCAGUUGACACUCAUGUUUGCCUUAUUGUUCAGCUAAAGCCUGCUGCAUUUCUUGUACUGUAUUAACUCCUGAAGUAUUUAUUCACUCCAAUUAUGUUUCAGUUCUUUAUUUUGAUCCAUUAUUCUUGAAUUUCUAUGCAGCAGAGAAGUUACCACUGUGGAGAGAACCUCGAAGAACGCCUGCCCUGCUUCAGCCUCUACCUCCUUGCCUUUGUCUGGCCCUCAUGUUUGUGCAGAUCUCCUGGACAGCCUGCUUCAAGAAAUUCUGCUUCAUGAAAUUAUUGCUCUGUUUGACUCAUUCUAUGACUUCCUUGCAUUCAUUGGCACCUGCCGCUCUUGGCGCGCUGCAGUCUCUACCUUUCCCUCUGUGCAUACAUUCAGCUUCCCGCCGCUCCACUUCAAACCAGAUGGUCCUUAUGUUCAUCCACAUAGCGGCCCUAUCAAGCCCAUCCUUUUAUCUGAUUGCAAAUGGCAGCUCAGUGAUCCUAGCAAGAAAAACUCAUCUCUUGCGUGUUCAGUGCCUAAAAAUAGUCCAAAUAAAAUGCACUAUUUGGGCUGCUCGUAUGGGUAUCUUAUCUUCUCCUACAAGGUUCACUGCCUCCUUGUCGAUGUGUACACUGGUAGCAAGGUGAUGCCCCCCAAACUCCCACGUAACAGUGAUCUUGGGUACUUUUGUGGCAUAGGCAUCCUUACGGCCCCAUCGAUUUCACCCAACUCUCGCCUCCUCCUUUUCUCAAGAGAUUCCAUGUUUGAGUGGCAGGUUGGAACAAACUCCUGGUCAGAGCACACCCUUACUCUUGAUAAUGAACGCAUCUAUCAGAUUGUGUUCUUCAAAGAUGAUAUCUUUGUCGUAGAUGCUGUUCUCAGGCUCCACACUAUACACCUGACACCUCAGUUCAGCAUGCAAGAAAUAGCAAUUAAAUAGGAGUUUGUGCCUAUGAACUCAUGGUUGGUGGUCUGUGGUGACAUGCUUCUCUUGAUUGACCAAAGGUUCAGCUCUGGCGGAUUGGGUGGCUCAUCUAACACGAUCUUUAGGGUCUCUCGCCUCAACUUCUCUGUCGAGCCAGCUAAGUGGGUGAAGUUGGAGAAGCUGGAUAAUUAUGCUCUGUUUGUUAGCCCUGACAGAAGGAAUCCUACAUUUUGUUGCAUGAGCCCGGAAAGAUGGGGAGGAAAGAGUAACUGCAUUUAUUUUGCGAGGCUAACUGAAGAUCCCGAUGAAACUUGGACCGCGGUCGAGUUUGGUCAGCCAGUGCCAGACAGUGCAGUUCGCGCCAUGCUCUUCUAUGAUAUGUCGUCCCCUCCAGACUGUGGUGUACUAAGUAGCCUCUGGGUGUUCCCCAGUUUAGUUUAUGGUUCUGGCUAGUAAUUCUUUCUAGUUCGCAACUAGUUCUGUAGCUGUAAUGGUUUUCUGACUUUGGGACCUGUCCAAGUAUGAUUAAUCUGUAUGGGAUUGCAUCUGUCAUCUGGUUGCGCUGGUAGAUGCAGCAGUAGAAUGGUCACAUGUGUUUCAACCAUCUGCUGUUAAAUGAGACAUAUGUACUGUCAAAUGUAACCUGGGUACUAUU